rnacentral:lncRNA from 1 species
CUUUUUUUUUUUUUUUUUGACUCAUUAACAAGUUUUUGUCUCAAGUUUUACUCCAUGUUUCACUUUAAGAGAACUGUUAAGACUUAUCUUCAGUAUACUAUUAUUAGACCCUCACCUACCAACUUAAAUUUUUGAAUCAAACGAUUUCUCUAACAAAGCCAGUUAUUUCAACAAAAAUCAGCCCCUAUAUAUUAAGUUAGAAAUAGUAAGGACAUAAACAUAUAUAUGUACCCAAAUCUAUCGGAAGUAGUUCAAAUCCUCUAGUUGCAUUUGAAUCAAGCAUGAAAGGAAUUAUGCAAGAGUCAUGCUAGACUGCCCGAAAAUUUAGCCCUAAUGAUUAGUUCUUGAAUAGGCAAACUCAAAAAGAAGUAGUUUGCCUCUUGGGGCACUUUCUCCGUCAAAAAUUUCAGGCAAACUAGAAAUUUCCUUUGUGCAAAAAACUGUACAUUUUAGAACAAAUUAAUAUAGGGGAAAUGGUUCUCACCUUAUUUAAUCUUUUGGAAGUAGUUCAAUCGACAAGUUGCAUUUGAAGUAGACUUCUUCACUAUUUAUUAAAAAUGGCUUUUGUCGACUCACAUAUUCCAGUUGCGUUCAUCUCCGCUCUCACAAGUUUCUGAUAAAAAUAUCAAUCAAUUUAAAAUAUAAUAAUGUUCAAGAAAAAGGGGACAGAUUAAAGAAAAAAAAAAGAACAAACAAACGAACGAACGAACAACAUCAAGGCUUGGUUUAAAAAAAGAUAAAUUGAAUCAAUUGAAUUGUGAAUGGUAAUCUUGCCUUGCAUAUGCCCCCAAAGCGGGCUCAAAAGAAUAAGUACCUUUGCCAUCUGAAGACAAGUAUAUAUCUCAAAGAACAUCACUUCUAGCUAUCUGGCAAGUUGGUCUACGACAGUUCUCCCGCCCCUGGAUAAAAAUGAACCGACUAUGUUUAAACACGCGGCUUUGGAGGAAAGAAAAUAUGAACAAUAAUAAUAAUUCAGACGAGCCGCCAUUAGAAUAGGCAGCUUGGUGAAAAUUAAUAAAAAAAUGAACAAUUAAUUUGUUAACAAAUACUCCUUUGCAUGCCAUUAGUGCCAUGCAGAGGUAAAAAUGAUGAUAAUAAAUAAGGGCAAUAAUAAAAACAACUAAAAAUUAAAAAAAAAAAAUUCCCACAAGCCCUAUUCUAGUCAUAUCGUAACAUAAUAAAAUGAAAAACAAAAGUCAAUGAUAGAUUCAAGAUAGCCAGUAAGAAAAACAACUAAAACUAAAAGAACAAGAAAACAAGGCAAAAGACUUACAUAUUUCAGAAAGUCUUGCGAAAAAUGUGAAAAAAUAUAUUAGCAACUUAGCCCUUAAGGUAUGUUGUUUUGCUCUCUGUGGAUAUUCUCUUCGGAUCAUUUGGAUCUAAUGGACGCAUCGCACGAAAUUUGACCUGGCAAAUUAAAGUGUUUGAUAAGGAUGAUAAAUGGAGAACUCAAAACUCAAACGAGGCAAUUGUAUAGAAUUAACCUCAAGAAACCUAACUCUCAAACAUGGAUCAAAUCCAAGAAAGAUAUGAUUCCGAGUCAACAGUCAAAUCUUCAACCCUAUGGUCAUGGCAACUGUCAAAUUGCAAAAGCCUUCCAAAUAUUUUGUUUCACUUUCACAUAGUCUUGGUUUCGAAAUUGGACCUACAUUUGACUCUAAAAUAAUCACGCCCAGCUUCUAAAGUUUCCUCAAAUUCAGUAACAACACAAAGAGAAAAUCCGAUAAACCUUUGAAAAUUACGCCAAUGCAGUGGCAGUUGAAUGGUUAGAAGAUGCUCUACUUUAACGGAUGAACCACUCAGGAAUGCUCUACUCAUUAACGAACGCUGACAAUAAGCCCCAUAUUCUGCGAUAUGUAUGAAAAUCAUUCAUUAUUUAUGGGCAUUAAUAAAUUGGCUUAGGUACUAGUAAAACCUCUCGAGAUAGUUAAAAGGUCAAACUUUCAAACACUGCUAACCUCUUUAGAGAAUAAUCUGGAUGCCGCAGUUGCCGUAUGCUGAAUCCCUAGCUGUAAAUCUGCCAAAGGGUUGGCUUGAUUCAGUUUCAGCCAAUAAGCGAAAAUGAAAUCGACUCCGUGAAAUGAAGAUCCCCGAACAUGCUGGCAGCAUGUUGAUGCAUCCAACUCUUAUAGACAUGACGGAAGCUAGGGCAAAGAAUAUUGAAGCUGCUUGCAAUUUUUUGCUUUUAAAUAACGGAGAGAAAAUGGAAGUUCUGGCCAUGAUUGAAGCAUAAUGCAACUGCACAAGUACAGGAAUCUCGGCUGAGAAAGUUGGUCGAUACUUUGAGGCAAAGUCUUAAACUCGUUUCCCCUUAGAUCCAAAGACUGCAACGGGGAUACACAUUACACAGCCAAAAAAUUUACCGUAAGUUAAUUGCAGUUUUUAUAAGCCUUUGGCAAAUGCUUUUACUUGAAAUAUUAAUACUUUUAAGCCUUUUGCAUUUCUCGAGAUUUAGGCACUCAACUGAUGCACGAAUUUUUUCUAUUGGGGUCCCACGUAAAGGUCUUAAAUUUUCGGUGAUCUGUGGAAACUCUGUGAGAUCAAUAUACAAGGAGAAAUUAACUGCAAUUGGAGAUCUGAAAUGGGUGUUACUUGGAAAGUGCUUAGGACUCUUGCAACCUUCGAGACAUAAGCUGCUAAGAUGAUUAAAAUUAUGAAUGGUUGGGACAACGUAAGGCAACUUUCUACGGUUCAAAAGUUCUAUUCUCUCGAGAUUUGGCAAUUCUGAGGAACAAGGGAUUUUCGCCGAGUCUCGAGAGUGAUGAAGAUCAAUCCAUUUUAACUUAAAUGCUUCCUGUAACAAAAGACAUAUUGCUACAAUGAAUUAGUAUUAAUGAAUUUCACAAUUUAUAUUCAACAAAAGAAAAAUAGAUGAUUAUUGAGCUAUUUUCUAUAGAUCAUAGAUUGUGAUAUAAAUGUAUGAAUUAAAAAAUAUUCUAAAUUGAUUCAAAAUUGUAAAGUAUAUGUAGGAUGUGACAAAUCAUUAAAAAAAUUAUUGGUAUACCUUUUUUUCUUCCUAAAGUUGUUCAAUUUCUUUAUUAUGAGGCAUGUUAAGUGAAAUAAGAUUCUCUUGAAUAAAAUUUAAUGGUAAGAUUUUCAAAUGAUAUCCAUGCCAAUGGAAAUAUCUUAAUUCAUUCCAGAGAUAUUGUAGGCCUUGGAGAAGAUGCACUUUAGAGACUAUACCCAAAUCAUCAAAAUGAUUAUGCAUAUAAAAUUUAAGUAAUUUAAGAUUUAGCAUUUUUGCGAAGCCUCUCGAACUUAGAUGUAUUUCACUUACUUUUGACGUGUCAAGGGACAUGCCUUCAAUUGAAUCAGUUCCCUAAUUAAAAGAAAAAAACAAAAAUUAGCAAUUGAUGAGUGAGAAUAAAAUAACGUAGAAAAAGCUUAAUCAAAUUUGUAACGAUUUGCAUAAUAAAACGAAAUAUUAUAAAUUCGAAGAAUCGAUAUUACUUACUUGAGUCUGUAAAUAAGAAAGAGAAGGAGCAAAUUAAUUAGCUAACCUUAUUUUUCUUUCGUACGUGAUAGACAUCUUCGUGAUACCACAAGCAGCUGCUACAUUUGCCUCGAUCUUUGUAAGAUUCAUGGCAAACAACCCUCUGUCCCAUUUCUUGCAAUAAGUCACGCAUCUGUAACUUAUUGUUUGAUAUUGUUAUUAUUGCCUUACCAGCUAGGAUAUUCAGUCCAUAAUGCACCAAAUAACGGUUGUUUAGUAUUAUUUUCACGUAAUCUCUACCCUCUCCGUUAAAGAAACAAGCAAUGUCUAAAAAUAAAUCCUUCUCUUUAUAGUUUAGUUCAUCGUAACUAAUUUUCAACAUAUCAUGAAUAUCAGGGUCAGAAAUUUGUUUUGGGUUGUGCAAUGCAUUUUCCCAAUGUUGUUUGCUCUUUCGAUAAAAGGACGAGCGUAAUACAUUAAGAGCUAAUGAACUGCCGUUGGCAUAAUCAACUACAUUGUCUGACAACACAAGAAGAUCCCCAGGGCAAUGGUUUUGUCUAAAAGCAUAGUAACAGAAGAUCUCAAGAGAUUCACGAUAGUUGAAUCCCUCAACCUUGUAUACGUAGUCUACUCCGUAUUUAUCAAGCACUUUCUUAUCUCUAGUGGUUACAAUGACUCUACUUCCAUGACCAAAUCGACUAAGCCCUCCUGUUAAAUAUUCUGAAUGUCCAAAUUUAUCCACCUUAUCGAGAAUAAUACAAACAUUCAUUUGCUGAAGCCUUUUCUUAAUACAUUGCGGUAGAAUGGAAGUUUCUACGGUACUUUCUCCUAAAAUUUGAGAAACAAUUUGAUCCCUUAAAUGUACUAAUUCAACCCUUUUUGAUUCUUCUCUAACAUUUGCCAUGAAGCACCAACCUUCAAACUGACUAGAAAUUUGGUUAAAGAUGGCUCCAGCAAUAUCUGUUUUAGAAAUACCACUCAUGCUCCAAGUUCUUACCAUUUGAAAAUCUGGCAAUCUGACGCAUAAAAGUGAAUUAUUUCGCUGAAUGUGUGAAUCUAGUCCAACCAGGUCUUCUGAAUUACCCAAGUGUGGAAUAUCAUGAAUUUUCUUCAAAAUAUCCUUGACAAUUUCAUCUACAAGUUCUGCUUCGGUUCUACCAAAUGUGAGAAAUGAACAACAUUAGCGAGUCAAAGAAAGAAAGAAAGAUAAAGGGGAAAAAGAAUUGGAGAGCCACACAUUAUUUUAUGAGUUUAUACUGGAUUUUGAAACAAGAGAUAAUUGAAAAAAAAAAAAAGGAAAACAGUAAAAAGAUAAACAGGUAUUUAAUUAAAAACUAAAAGUUGAAAACUUUUUUUUUAGGUAAUAUAGGCAUAAUAACAUAUAAGUUUUAAUUUGAGUCUCAAUUGAUAUGGUAUUUAUCCGUCAAAUUUUGGUUAUAUAAUUUUAUAACCUAUUAAAUUGGGACUCAAGAUGAAACUCAGAUAUUUGAAUCUCUAACAUUAUUGUUUUUUUCACCUUAAAAGAAUAUCGAUGACUUAGAGGAAAAAGUUGUGAUUUAAAAAAAAUGUAUAAAAAUUAUUUAUUAUUGAAAAAAAAUUGUUCAACCCCAUAAAGUAAUUAAUAAGGGCAUACUGAUUAUAUAUAACAAUGCAAAAUCAAUAUUUGUAACAAAGAAGCUAUAUUGCCCGGUGGCUUUAGCCUUUAUUUACUUGUCUUAUUUUUUUCCUUUUAUCUAAUAUCAAUCGUCCAUACAGAAUUUGUAGGCCAUUCUUUCAAUGUCAAAAAUGAUAUGAACUGACACUGUGAGUGAAUAGCAACACGUCCGAAUAACCUUUUAAUUUAUAAAAGGGGACACACACACACACACACACACACCCCCGAAUUUAUUUAUGAUAGAGUAAAUGAGACCUGAUUUUCAUGGAAUCCCAUCCACAAAGAUUGGAUGCUUGGGUCAAUGCAGCUCUCCAUUUGUGAACUUUUUGUGGUGUGUCCCUGAAAUCAUUUUCAUGCUCAACAAAAGCGUCUCCAAAACUUCCAGUCUGGUUCCUUACGUCGGAUGGAUCCACAUUGUAGAAAACCGGCAUAACAAUUUGGCCUUUCCUUUUCUUGCAUUCAAGAAUCUUGACGAGUUCAUGCAAGCACCAUGUUGAAGAAGCGUAACCUUUUGAGAAAAUUAUUACCGAAAUCUUUGAUUCUUCAAUUGCAUUCAAAAGGGCUGACGGAAUGUCAUCUCCUUUCUUAAGUUGUUCAUCAAUAAAGGUUUUUAUUUUUUCUCGACAAAAGGCAGCAAAGAGAUGGCUCGUAAAGUUGUUGCGAGUAUCCUCCCCUCUGAAGCUGAGGAAGACAUCGUAUUUUCUUGGAGAGCAGGAUGAUGAUGAUGAAGCCAUCUUCUAUAUAUAUGUGAGUGUGACACAAAGAGAUGGCCAGUAGAAGUGAAAUGAAAGGCGUGCUAUAUGAUCAUCAUGUGGAGGUGGGGUCAAUCUAUUUAUAUACGCAAGUGGUUGGAGCUUUUAAUCAGAUUGUUUUUGUUUAGGUGACUAAAACUAAAGAAAAUUUGCACUUGUAGCUGUAGCUUUCUCCUAUGGGUAAUGCAAAUCUAAUUUUCUCUUCAGAUAACUUUUGGCUGCUAAUCUUUCAUUGUGUGACUUUCCUGCCACCUUGGGACCGGGUUAAUUUCCUUGUAUUUUCUUGGAGAUUAUGCGCAUCCACCGCCGCAAAUGAGAAGUCCCCCUAAUGCUUACAUUAAAAAUGUUAAUAAAAUACACUAGUCAUCAUUUCUUUAGAGCCAAAAAGGAAACAUUGACGGUGAAAAGGAAGAAUAUUACGGAGGUGAAAAGAAAUAGCCGACGAUACAUUAAUAUAUUUUUGUUUUUGCAUGCGCAUUGCAUUAAUUGUCAAUUGCGGGUGGCCAACACACUGCAAACUAAACCCUCUCAAUGGGAACAAGGAAUUUUUUUUAUAGUUAUCGAGGAAACAUAAAUGAACUCUAUAAUUAAUCUAGCACAGAUAUCAAAGCGGAUUAUGAAGAAAACGUCAGAAAAUUCAUUUGCAGUUGGUGGAAGAGAUGGUAAAUUUCCACCAUAUAUAUACUACUUAAUACUUAUAUUCUUAUUAUUUUUAUAAUAUCCAAUAACCUCAACAUUGUAAUUUUACAUUAUUACUUUUAAUUUCAUAUAUACUUUUAUUUAUAUUUAUUAUAAAUUAAAUAAAUUAUAUAAAUAAAAAUAAAAAUUUUAAAUAUUGAAAAUAAGAAAUAUGAGUUUUGAUAUGAAUAAUAUUUUUCUAGUGCUUUUUGUUAUUUUUAAAUUUUUAUAAUAAAUAUAUGUUUUGUAUAUGACUCAUUAUCCCUAUUUCUUUUCAAUAUUUUUCUUUUUGGCCCGGAGGAGCUAUUGGAUAUUGUAAAAACAGUAAAAAGUUAGUGAUAUAUAUUGAUUUUAGUACGAGGAAAACUGAAAAUCUCUCUAUAAUGAAUGAGGACUGGAAAGCUCAUUUAAAAUUUCUCAUAUCAUUUUAACUUCUUCAUUUUCCCCCUUUACUUCUUCUCGUGGUACUAGAGAUUUGGUCUCAAAUUAUGCCUAUAUCAUAUUUAGGAGGAGUUUGAUUUAUAUUAAGGGAAAUUAUCUCCCACCCAUCUCAAGAGUAUUAAAAGUGCAAGUAGACACCACAAGUUUCUUAUAAUAUCUUACUUCAAGUUUUAGUUUUAUUUCAAGCAGCAACUUUUCCAUUAAUUUUGUUAGCCACAGUUACAGAAUCUAAAAUAAAAGACUAUCUUGCCCCUAGAUUCAUUUAACAAGGUAAAGGAUGCAUUCAGAGAAAAAUAUUCAUUUCUUUUAGAUUUUUUAACAUAGCUGAUGGAGUUACUAAAAAAUGAUUAGUUGAUUUAAAACUAAAAUUUUGAGGUGGUUUUGAAAUAUUAUUGAAAACUAAUGUUAACUACUUAUACUUUAAAUAUUCUUGAUGUGGUUGGGAGAUAAUUUCCUUAUAUUAAUUUAUAAAACAAACAAAUGUAAACAGUAGCCUUUUACAACUAUUGAAAGAAGAGAAACAACAAAUUAGGAGAACAUAUCAUGAGCUUUACCCAAUAACAGUUCUUCCAUACAUAUGUUAUUGCAUAUCUUAUAUGACUUAUUUAAUGGCCAUAAGUGCUUAUUUAAUCCCACAAGCUCUUAUCAUAAUUUUUGUUGCUGUUUAUUUAUUUUUUAAUAGAACUUUUAAAGUUUAAAUAAGUUAUUCUACCUCUACUAAUGAAAGCUUAAAUUUUGAGCUUUUAGGAGUAGAGGUUAAAUUUUUUUUUUAAAUGUUAAAAUAUCUUCUAUUUAUUUGACAAUCUUAUUUUAUAUUUUUCAUAACAUAAUUUUAAAAAACUCGUCUAUUAAAGUAUUUCAUAAAGACAUAAAUUUUUUAAUAAAAUCUCUUAUUAACAAUCAAACAACUAAUUUUUUUUUUGUAAAAAAUUUAUUUAUAAAAGUUUUAUUAACAAAGCUCUACUUGAAAAGCUUACCAAAUGAAGCCUUACACAAUUUAAAACUUUAAAAUUUUUUCAUCCUUUUCAAACAGAUUUUUCUUUCAUGCUUCGAAGGCCUUCUACUAGAUUUUUACACUUAUCAUUUUUUGUUUAAAAUGGGUAAUAAUAUGAUUUAAUUUUUUUUAAAAAUAUAAAUAAAAAUUUAAUUAUUUAGGAAAUAAAGGGCUUCAGACUUAUUUAGUUGUUUUCAAAGGUGGGGCGGCAAGCUGUCCCGUAAACGGAUGGAUGGUAGAAGAAAUGACACUUGGCAAAUGUUCCAAACAAGCAACAGUGUCAGGAAAAAUAGCAAGACCGCCCCACGAAUAAUUUAACAAGAAAAAUAACCAAAACAGAUUACCGCUUGCGCAAAAAUGAUGUCAACACAGCCCCACAAAUCCAAGAACGUGAUUAUGGUGCUAUUAGCAAUAGUAACCAGUGAAUUUAUUAGUAAAGACUCACACACGUCAGCAAUCUGAUGAAUGUUUUUAACAUUUCUGUGGGUGAUUAGAGAAGUAAAGACUGGUUUUAAUAGACUAAACAACAGUUGAAAUGUUCAAUAAAGUAGUUGACUAAUCCUGACCAUUAAUUAUUUCGGAUGGAAGGGGAAUCUAAAGUCAAGCACACUUUUUGAGACCACUCCCCAGCAAUUUUCCCAAAAUUUUCUCAUUUUGUCUGUCCUGUUAUAGUUCAAACAUUUAUUUUUUUUUUUUUUUUUUUCAAAAAUAUGCUUUUAUCAUAUCAGAGUUAUAUUUUAAUUGGACAAUAAUGACACGUUUAGCAUUACUCAUCAUCAAAUAAUUUAUACACAGCGUUAAAUGCUAAAAAUUAUACAAGGUACGUGGCAGUUAUGUCACAAAAAAGUGACGCAGGUGCGCGUCAUUGGCCUUUUUCUUUGUUUCUUGGAGUGAAAAACGCGUGGCGGUGGGCGCCGAUAAAGAUGAAACAGAAGAAUGAAGAAAAGUUAAUGAAGAAAAUAGAAAGAAAUGGAAUUCUUCCAUCACUUUUGAUCGAUCGUUGCUUUCUCUCUUUCAUUAUUAUUUUAAUUUGAUUAAAGCUCAACUAUUUUAGUUUAAUGAUUAUUGUUGAAUUCUACCAUAUAAAUUUACUGUGCACGUUACCCUCUUGAACAUUAUUUCGGUUGACGAAAUUUUCAAGUCAAGCACCCAUCUUAGGUUUUUAAUCUGUUAAUAAAGUGUUGACUGGAAAAAUGGAAAAAAAAAAAAGACAGAUCCAAUGUGAAGGAUUUUGUAGGUUCAUUGAUCAGGGCUUAACAGAAGAGCUUGACAAUUAUUUCAGAUGAAUGGAAUUUUCCAAGUCAAGCACAUCUUGAAAAGCUGAGGAUGAAUUAGCCAGCGUGUUAAGGAUAGAAGGAAAUUAUGGAAGUUCCAUGGAAAGAGAAAACUAAUUCUUACAAGGGUAAUUUUGAUAUUAAAAGUCGACUAAGACUGUUGUAGGGGGGGGGGGGGGGGGGGGGGGAGUUCACUUACGUUAAAUUUUUUACUUUAAAAAGUGAUUUAAUUUUUAUCUAUUAUAUCUAUUCAAUUCAAUGGUAGACGGCUGGAGACACUGAAAUUACUUAUAGACUUUAAAUUCUUACCCAUUUGAUUCAGUGGAUCUAAUAAAUGAAAAAUUAAAUCACCUUUUUAAAUAAAAAAAAUUUUAAGUUGAAGGGAACCUCACCUUAUUUGUAUGGUGGCUAUAACUUUAAAAAAUGUAUUGAAUCUUUAUAGUUAUUAUUUCGAACUGUUGAGAUUAUUUUCUAUUCACAAUUAUUUGAUAAAAAAAUCUAUAUUUUUAUUAUUUUUUAUCAAAUACUUACAAAAUACUAAUAUAGAUUUGCCUAGACCAAUACACUAUUUUCUUUUAGUUUUCUACGAUUAAAUCUUAUAUUAAGAAAUAUGGGAGUGGUAUAAUUUACCAACCUAAUUUGUUCUAUCUUUUUCUUAGGAUUGAUUCUUAUUUAUAUAUCAUUAUUCUAUAUUAUAUCAAAUUCUCAUUUUGUAGUUGUCUUGCAACUCCUUAUUAACAUGGAAGCCAUAAAUGUUUUAAUCAUAUUUACUAUUAUGUUCAUGAAUGGCUCAAAUUAUUUGAAGGCUUUUCAAUUAAAUCCUUAAACUAUUGGCAAUGGUCUUACUCCCAUAAUUUGUAUAAGUAGUUUUUUUUAUGCUAAUCACUACUAUUCUAGAUACGUUGUGGUAGAUGAUUAUUUGGCUACACAAGCCAAGUGGAUUAUUGAGCAAGAUACGAUAAGUCAUAGUCAACGAACUGGAAUUCAUUUAUAACCAGACUUCUUAUUAAUAGUGUUUAAUUUGAAGGUGGAAUUUCUAAAAAUUAGGUAAUCUUGGACAAAACUGUUGGGGCAGAAAUAUCAGCUACAUUGUUUUGAACCGGGUUGGUCCAUGUCCAUUCGAUCAAUGUGUAUUUGAGCCCAAUAUGAUUUUGCUGAUUUGACUGUCUGUUGGCCCAAUAGUUCACGCUAUUUCAUGGGUUAUGCACUAGCUUUUAUUAACCAAUUUAGCCCUUCUGUGUGCGGAAAUUAUGGGAAAAAAAAAAAAAAAAAAACAAAACAAAACAAAAGGGUAAAUAAGGUGAAAUAAGAUUGAAAGUGUGGGCCGGAGAAGCGUGAACCCUCUAAUUGUAUCAUAUACAUAUAAUUGACAAUACCAUAAAGGCUUAAGAUAAGAAUAAAAAUUCAAUUUGAUACAAAUGCAAUAAUUCUACCAAUUCAUUUCCAUAUUCGCAAAGUUCCUCAUACGAUUCCCAUCAUUGACUUUCUUCUGUACUCUUGGAAUUUAUUUUUAAUCACCCGGUAAUAAUGCUCGUGCCAAAAUGAUGGUAUACAUUGUGCUUUAAAUUAGCACACGAAAUUUUCCAUCUACAUAUCAUCAUUCAGUUAUAAUAUAAUUGGCGAGGGUGAGGUGGUGACCAAUAUGGAAAGCUAUGAUCACGUCCAUUAACUGACCGUUAACAUUUAUUACUAAAUUUAGAGUUAAUUCCGAUCUAAAUAUGAAAGCAAUCUUGUAGCCUAAAUGCAUAUUCUAUUCUCCUCAUCACUCAGAAAAUGGAUACACAUUCAUAUCUUCAAAUACUUGCACUAUUAGUUAUCUCUCUCGGCUACAUUUUUUCAGUUGCAGAAGCUCAGGAUCAAACUGCAGGUUUCGGUUAUGUUAUUCGAUCAUCUACCAAUGAUUCCUCCUCACUGACUGCUGAUCUUGCCCUCAUCAAGAGCUCCUCCGUUUUUGGUCCUGAUAUUCAGAAUCUCAGUCUUUUUGCAAGGUGUUUCAAAAGAGUUGUUUUUAUUCAUUUAUUUUAUCAUUUUAUGCGUACAUAUAUAUAUACACACAUGAUUCUAUUGCUUUACUGCAGCUACGAAACAAAAGAUCGUUUGAGAGUCCGAAUAACAGAUUCAAAGAACAAAAGAUGGGAAAUUCCUGAAGAUAUAAUAGCCCGCCAAUCGAACUCCACACGAAACCAUCAAUUCCUCUCGGACCCCGAAUCCGAUUUGGUCUUCAACCUCCAUAACGCCACCCCAUUCGGCUUCUCCGUCACCCGCAGGUCCUCCGGUGAACUUCUUUUCGACACGUCACCAAACGCCUCGAGUACUGAUAGCGUCUUGGUGUUCAAAGAUCAGUACAUUCAGCUGUCUUCCGCUUUGCCAUCACAAGGCUCUGAUCUUUACGGACUCGGAGACCACACGAAGAAGACAUUCAAGCUGAAGCCUGACCAGAAACAGAUAACUUUGUGGAAUGCUGACAUAGCAGCAGCAGCUGUUGAUGUUAACCUCUAUGGCGCUCACCCUUUUUACAUUGAUUUGAGAUCCCCCAAUGGGACAACUCACGGUGUCUUGCUACUUAACAGCAAUGGCAUGGAUGUUGUUUACACUGGUGACAGAAUUACUUUCAAGGUUAUUGGAGGGAUUAUCGAUUUGUAUUUUUUCGCCGGUCCGUCUCCAGAUUCAGUUAUACGACAGUACACAGAAUUGAUCGGCCGCCCUGCCCCUAUGCCAUAUUGAUCCUUUGGUAAGUCCUGAGGCUUCACAUUCAAUUUGAAUAAUUUAUUAUUUAUAUGCUUAUUAUUGAUCAUUGGUUUGUUGCAAAAUGUGUCCAGGAUUUCAUCAGUGUCGAUAUGGUUACAAGAAUGUGUCAUACCUUGAGGGUGUGGUCGCCGGCUAUGCAAACGCUAGUAUCCCGCUUGAAGUUAUGUGGACAGAUAUUGAUUACAUGGAUGCUUACAAAGAUUUCACUCUUGAUCCCAUCAACUUCCCUGUGGACCCAAUGAAAACAUUUGUUGAUAAUCUUCAUAAAAAUGGUCAAAAAUAUGUGGUCAUAGUGGAUCCGGGUAUCUAUCAAAUUCCCCCUUUGCUGAUUGCUGCUGACACUUUUGCGGUUUAUUUGUCCUGUGCAAAGCUCAUUUGGUUCUUAUUUCCCAUAGGUAUUAGCACAAAUGAGACUAACGAUACUUUCGAUAGAGGGAUGAAGGCUGAUAUCUAUAUUAAACGCGAAGGUGUACCUUACAAAGGUAAAGUUUGGGCCGGUGAUGUUUACUUCCCUGAUUUUCUGAAUCCUGCCAUUGAAACUUUUUGGGAAGGUGAGAUCAAAUUAUUUCGGAAUACUCUUGCGGUGGAUGGGUUUGGCUUGACAUGAAUGAGUUAUCUAAUUUCAUAACUUCGAGUCUCGCCCCGUCUUCUACUUUGACGAUCCUCCCUACAAGAUUAGUAAUGGUGGAGGUGGAAAGCAAAUUAAUGACAGAACUUUUCCGGCAAGUGCUCUGCAUUUCGGCAACGUUACAGAGUAUAAUUCCCAUAAGGCCAUAACCUUUAUGGACUGCUGGAAGCAAAGGCUACUCAUGCAGCCUUGAUCAAUGUCACCGGUAAAAGGCCAUUCAUACUUAGUAGAUCCACUUUUGUUAGCUCCGGAAAGUAUGCAGCUCAUUUGACUGGCGAUAAUGCCGCUAGAUGGGAUGAUUUGGCCUAUUCAAUUCUUGCCAUAUUGAAAGUUGGUGUACGACAGUCCUCCCGCCCCUGGAUAGAAAUGAACCGACUAUAUUUGAACACGCAGCUUCGGAGAAAAGAAAAUAUGAACAAUAAUAAUAAUUCAGACGAGCCGCCAUUAGAAUAGGCAGCUUGGUGAAAAUUAAUAAAAAAAUGAACAAUUAAUUUGCUAACAAAUGCUCCUUUGCAUGCCAUUAGUGCCAUGCCGAGUUAAAAAUGAUGAUAAUGAUAACAACAACUACAAUUAAAAAAAAAAAAUUAUUCCCACAAGCCCUAUUGGAGUCAUAUCGUAACAUAAUAAAAUGAAAAAAAAAAAAAUCUAUGAUAGAUUCAAAAUAUGCAGUAAGAAAAACAACUAAAAAUAAAAGAACAAGAAAACAAGGCAAAAGACUUACAUAUUUCAGAAAGUCUUGUGAAAAAUGUGAAAAAAUAUAUUGGCAACUUAGCCCUUAAGGUAAGUUGAUUUGCUCUCAGUGGAUAUUCUCAAUGGAUCAUUUGAAUAUAUGAUUCCGAGUCAAUAAUCAAAUCUUGAACCCUAUAGUCAUGGCAACCGUCAAAUUGUAAAAGCCUUCCAAAAAUUUUGUUUCACUUUCACACACAGUCUUGGUUUCAAAAUUGGACCUACAUUUGACUCUAAAAUAAUCACGCCCAGCAGCUAAAGUUUCCUCAAAUUCAGUAACAACGCAAAGAGAAAAUCCGAUUAACCUUUGAAUAGUACACCAAUGCAGUGGCAGUUGAAUGGUUAGAAGAUGCUCUACUUCGACGGAUGAACCACUCAGGAAUGCUCUACUUAUUAACGAACGCUGAUAAGAAGCCCCAUAUUCUGCGAUACAGUUAAGAGUAUCGUUGAUUAUUUAUGGGCAUUAAUAAAUUGGCUUAGGCACUAGUAAAACCUCUCGAGAUAGUUAAAAGGUCAAACUUUCAAACACUGCUAACCUCUUUAGAGAAUAAUCUGAAUGCCGCAGUUGCCUUUUGCUGAAUACCUAGCCGUAAAUCUGCCAAAGGGUUGGCUUGAUUCAGUUUCAGCCAAUCAGCGAAAAUGAAUUCGACUCUGUGAAAUGAAGAUCCCCGAAGGUGCUGGCAGCCUUCGGAUGCAUCCAACUCUUGUAGACAUGACGGAAGCUCGGGCAAAGAAUAUUGAAGCUGCUUGCAAUUUUUUGCUUUUAAAUAACUGACAGAAAAUGGAAGUUCUGGCCAUGAUUGAAGCAUAAUGCAACUGCUCAAGUACAGGAAUCUCAGCUGAGAAAGUUGCUUGAUACUUUGAGGCAAAGUCUUAAACUCGUUUCCCCUUAGAUCCAAAGACUGCAACGAGGAUACACAUUACACAGCCAAAAAAUUUACCGUAAGUUAAUUGCAGUUUUUAUAAGCCUUUGGCAAAUGCUUUUACUUGAAAUAUUAGUACUCUUAAGCCUUUUGCAAUUCUCGAGAUUUGGGCACUCAACUGAUGAACGAAUUUCUUCCAUUGGGGUCCCACGAAAAGGUCUUACAUUUCCGGUGAUUUGUGGAAACUCUGUGAGAUUAAUACACAAGGAGAAAUUAACUGCAAUUGGAGAUCUAAAAUGGGUGUUACUUGGAAAUUGCUUAGGACUUUUGCAACCUUCGAGACACAAGCUGCUAAGAUGAUUGAAAUUAUGAAUGGGUGGGACAACGUAAGGCAACUUUCUACAGUUCAAAAGUUCUGUUCUCUCAAGAUUUGGCAAUUCUGAGGAAUAAGGGAUUUUCGCCGAGUCUCGAGAGUGAUGAAGAUCAAUCCAUUUUAUCUUAAAUGCUUCCUGUAACAAAAAGGCAUAUUGCUACAAUGGAUUAGUAUUAAUGAAUUUUACAAUUUAUAUUCAACAAAAGAAAAAUAGAUGAUUAUUGAGCUAUUUUCUAUAGAUCAUAGAUUGUGAUAUAAAUGUAUGAAUUAAAAAAUAUUCUAAAUUGGUUCAAAAUUGUAACGUAUAAGUAGGAUGUGACAAAUCAUUAAAAAAAUAUUGGUAUACCUUGUUUUUUCCUAAAGUUGUUCAAUUUCUUUAUUAUGAGGUAGGUUAAGUGCAAUAAGACACUCUUGAAUAAAAUUUAAUGGUAAGCUCGUAAAAAAAACAAAAAUUAAUGGUAAGAUUUUCAAAGAAUAUCUAUGCCAAUGGAAAUAUCUUAAUUCAUUCCAGAGAUAUUGUAUGCCUUGGAGAAGAUGCACUUUAGAGAAUAUACCCAAAUCAUCAAAAUGCUUAGGCAUAUAAAAUUUAAGUAAUUUAAGAUCUAGCAUUUUCGCAAAGCCUCUCGAACUUAGAUGUAUUUCACUUACUUUCGACAUGUCUAGGGACAUACCUUCAAUUGAAUUAGUUCCCUAAUUAAAAAAAUAAAGGAAAUUAGCAAUUGAUGAGUGAGCAUAAAAUAACGCAGAAAAAUCUUAAUCAAAUUUGUAAGGAUAUGCAUAAUAAAUUGAAAUUUUGAAAAUUCGAAGAUUCGAUAUUACUUACUUGAAUCUCCAAAUAAGAAAGAGAAAAAGCAAAUUAAUUAGCUAACCUUAUUUUUCUUUCGUACGUGAUAGACAUCUUCAUGAUACCACAAGCAGCUGCUAUAUUUGCCUGGAUCUUUGUAAGAUUCAUGGCAAACAACCCUCUGUCCCAUUUCUUGCAAUAAGUCACGCAUCUGUAACUUAUUGUUUGAUAUUGUUAUUAGUGCCUUACCAGCUAGGAUAUUCAGUCCAUAAUGCACCAAAUAACGGUUGUUUAGUAUUAUUUUCACGUAAUCUCUACCCUCUCCGUUAAAGAAACAAGCAAUGUCUAAAAAUAAAUCUUUCUCUUUAUAGUUUAGUUCAUCGUAACUAAUUUUCAACAUAUCGUGAAUAUCAGGGUCAGAAAUUUGUUUUGGGUUGUGCAAUGCAUUUUCCCAAUGUUGUUUGCUCUUUCGAUAAAAGGACGAGCNNNNNNNNNNNNNNNNNNAAAUUAUCAAAGGCAUGCGAAGGCUCACUGCUGUACGCCCUCUCCGUUAAAGAAACAAGCAAUGUCUAAAAAUAAAUCUUUCUCUUUAUAGUUUAGUUCAUCGUAACUAAUUUUCAACAUAUCGUGAAUAUCAGGGUCAGAAAUUUGUUUUGGGUUGUGCAAUGCAUUUUCCCAAUGUUGUUUGCUCUUUCGAUAAAAGGACGAGCCUAAUACUUUAAGAGCUAAGGAACUGCCGUUGGCAUAAUCAACUACAUUGUCUGACAGCACAAGAAGAUCCUCAGGGAAAUGGUUUUGUCUAAAAGCAUAGUUACAAAAGAUCUCAAGAGAUUCACGAUAGUUGAAUCCCUCAACCUUGUAUACGUAGUCUACUCCGUAUUUAUCAAGCACUUUCUUAUCUCUAGUGGUUACAAUGACUCUACUUCCAUGACCAAAUCGACUAAGCCCUCCUGUUAAAUAUUCUGAAUGUCCAAAUUUAUCCACAUUAUCGAGAAUAAUACAAACCUUCAUUUGCUGAAGCCUUUUGUUAAUAUAUCGUGGUGGAAUGGAAGUUUUUAUGAUAUUUUCUCCUAAAAUUUGAGAAAGAAUUUGAUCCCGUAAAUGUUCUAAUUCAACCCUUUUUGAUUCUUCUCUAACAUUUGCCAUAAAGGACCUACCUUCAAACUGACUAGAAAUUUGGUUAAGGAUGGCUCUAGCAAUAUCUGUUUUAGCAAUACCAUGCAUGUCCCAAGGUCUUACCAUUCGAAAAUCUGGCAAUCCGAUGCAUAAAAGUGAAUUAAUACGCUGAAUGUGUGAAUCUACUCCAACUAGGUCUUCUGAAUUACCGAAGUGUGAAAUAUCAUGAAUUUUCUUCAAAAUAUCCUUGACAAUUUCAUCUACAAGUUCUGCUUCGUGUCUACCAAAUGUGAGAAAUGAACAACAUUAGUGAGUCAAAGAAAGAAAGAAAGAAAGAAAGAAAGAAAGAAAGAUAAAGGGGAAAAAAAUGGAGAAGAAACCACAUAUUAUUUUAUGAAAACAAGAGAUAAUAAUAAAAAAAAGAAUGGAAACAGAUAAGAAGAUGAAGAGGUAUUUAUUUAAAAACUAAUAGUUAAAGACCUUUUUUUUUGGUAAGUAAUAUAGGCAUAAUAACAUAUAAGUUUCAAUUUGAGUCUCAAUUGAUAUGGUAUUUAUCCAUCAAAUUGUGGUUAUAUAAUUUUAGAGCAAUGAUAUAGCCACAAAUUCUUGUACAAAUUUAUUUUGUACAAACUGAUGUGGCAUUAAUUCAUUGGUUGAAUUAAAUAUCUCUUGGUCCAUAUGAUUUAUUUAUAUUAUUUUAUAUUUUCAUUCAACCAAUGAAUUAAUGUCACAUCAGUUUGUACAAGAUAAGUUUGUACAAGAGUUUGUAUCUGUAACAUCACUCAUAAUUUUAUAACCUAUUAAAUUAGGACUCAAGAUGAAACUUGGAUAUUAGAAUCCCUAACAUUAUUACUUUUUUCAUCUUAAAAAAUAUUGAUGACUCCGAAGAAAAAGUUGUGAUUUUUUUUUAAAAAAAUAAAAAAUGUAUAGAAAAUAUUUAUUAUUGAAAAAAAAAAUUUGUUCAACCCCAUAGAGUAAUUAAUAAGGGCAUACUGAUUAUAUAUACACAAUGCAGAAUCAAUAUUUGCAUCAAAGAAGCUAUAUUGUCUGGCGGCUUCAGCCUUUAUUUACUUGUUUUAUUCUUUUUAUCUAACAUCACUCGUCUAUGCAGAAUUUGUAGGUCAUUCUUUCAAUGUCAAAAGUGAUAUUAACUGACUCUGUGGGUGAAUAGCAACACGUCCGAAUAACUUUUCCUGGUACAAUGUAAGAUAUGACCAAUGAGUAAUUAUUAAUUUAUAAAAGGGGAUACCCCCCCGCGCCGAAUUUAGUUAUGAUAGAGUAAAUGAGACCUGAUUGUCAUGGAAUCCCAUCCACAGAGAUUGGAUGCCUGGGUCAAUGCGGCUCUCCAUUUGUGAACUUUUUGUGGCAUGUCCCUGAAAUCAUUUUCAUGCUCCACAAACGCGUCUCCAAAACUUCCAGUCUGGUUCCUUACGUCGGAUGGAUCCACAUUGUAGAAAACCGGUAUAACAGUUUGGCCCUUCCUUUUCUUGCAUUCAAGAAUCUUGACGAGUUCCUCCAAGCACCAAGUUGAAGAAGCAUAACCUUUUGAGAAAAUUAUUACCGAAAUCUUUGAUUCUUCAAUUGCAUUCAAAAGGGCUGACGAAAUGUCAUCUCCUUUCUUAAGUUGUUCAUCAAUAAAGGCUUUUAUUUUUUCUCGACAAAAGGCAGCAAAGAGAUGGCUAGUAAAGUUGUUGCGAGUAUCCUCCCCUCUGAAGCUGAGGAAGACAUCGUAUUUUCUUGGAGAGCAGAAUGAUGAUGAUAAAGCCAUGUUCUAAUAUAUGCGUGUGACACAAAGAGAUGGCAAGUAUAAGUGUAAUGAAAGGCGUACUAUAUGAUAAUCAUGUGGAGGUGAGGUCAGUCUAUUUAUAUGCACAAGUGGUUGGAGCUUUUAAUCAGAGUGUUUUUGUUUAGGUGACUAAAAAUAAAGAAAAUUUGCACUUGUAGCUGUAGCUUUCUCUUAUGGGUAACACAAAUCUUUUUUUCCUCAUGAGAUAACUUUUGGCUGCUAAUCUUUCAUUGUAUGACUUUCCUGCCACCUUGGGGCCGGGUUAAUUUCCUUGUAUUUUCUUGGAGAUUAUGCGCAUCCACCGCCGCAAAUGAGAAGUCUUCCUAAAGCUUACAAUAGAAAUGUUAAUAAAAUACACAAGUCAUCAUUUCUUUAGAGCAAGCAAGAAAAUAGUGACGGUGAAAAGGAAGAAUAUUACAGAGGUGAAAAGAAAUAGCCGACGAUACAUUAAUAUAUUUUUGUUUUUGCAUGCGCAUUGCAUUAAUUGUCAAUUGCGGGUGGCCAACACACUGCACACUAAACCCUCUCAAUGGGAACAAGGAAUUUUUUUGAUAGUUUUCAAGGAAACAUAAAUGAACUCUAUAAUUAUUCUAGCUCAGAUAUCAAAGCGAAUUAUGAAGAAAACGUCAGAAAAUUCAUUUGUAGUUGGUGGAGGAGAUUGCAAAUUUCCACAUGUCCUAAAAUUAAUAUAUACUACUUAUAAUUUUAUUAUUUUUAUAAUAUUUAAUAAUCUCAGGACUAUAAUUUUACAAUAUUAAUUUAGUUUUAUAUACACUUUUAUUCAUAUUUAUUAUAAAUUAAAUAAAUCCUGUAAAUUAAUAAUAAAAGUUUUCAGUUGUUUUUACAUAUUUUUAUAAAAAAAAAAUAUUUUAUAUAUGACUCAUUUAUCCCUCCUUCCUUUCUUUCUUUUUUUUUUUUAAUAGAAGGGCUAUUGGAUAUUUUAAAAACAGUAAAUGGUCAAUGGUAUGUAUCUAUUUUAGUACAAGAAAAACUGACAAUCUCUCUGUAAUGUAUGAGGAUUAGAAAGAUCAUUUAAAAUUUCUCAUAUCAUUUUAACUUCUUCAUUUUUCCCCUUCAACUUGCUCCCUUUACUUGUUCUCGUGGUAAUAGAGAUUUGUUUUCUAUGCUUAUACCAUAUUUAGGAGGAGUUUGAUUUAUAUUGAGGGAAAUUAUCUCCCACCCAUCUCAAGAGUAUUAAUAGUAUGAGUAAAUGCCACGAGUUUCUUAUGAUAUCUUACUUCAAGUUUUAGUUUUAUUUCAAGAUUAUCUUAACCCCAAAUCCAUUUAAAAAGGUAAAACAAUAUUUUGGGAUACCUUGGGAGAAAAAUAUUCAAUUCUUGUAGAUUUUUUAACAGUAGCUUAUGAAAUUGAUAAAAAAGUGAUUUGUUGAUAUAAGAUUAUAUUGAGAUAUUAUAAAAAGGACGUGGUCUCUUACAACUAUUGAAAGAAGAGAAACAAAUUAGGAGAGCGUAUCAUCAGCUUUACCCAGUAACAAUUCUUGCAUGCAUAUAUUACACAAUGUAAAGAUUUAGAGAUUUUUUUGAUCCUUUUAAAAAAGGAUUUUUCUUUCAUGCUUCGAAGGCCUUCUAUUAGGUUUUUACGCUUAUGGUUUUUGUUUAAAAUAGGUAUUAAUAUGAUUUAAUUUAAAAAAAAUAGAAAUAAAAUUUUAAUCAUUUAGGAAAUGAAUGGCUUCAGACUUAUUUAGUUGUUUUCAAGGUGGGGCGGCGUGAAUGGACGGAUGGUAGCAGAAAUGACACUUGGCAAAUGUUCAAAACAAAGCAACUAUAUCAGGAAAAAUAACAAGACCGCCCCGCGAAUAAUUUAACCAGAAAAAUAUCCAAGACAGAUCACCGUUUCCGCAAAAAUGAUAACAACACUGCCCCACAAAUCAAAGAACCUGAUUACGGUGUUGUUAGCAAUAGUAACUAGUGAAUUUAUUAUUAAAGACUCGCACACGUCAGCAAUCUGAUGAAUGUUUUGGCCAGCCAGAAUCCAUUUUAACAUUCCUGUGGGUGAUUAAAGAAGUAAAGACUGGUUUGAAUGGACUGAUCAGCGGUUGAAAUGUUCAAUAAAGUAGUUGACUAAUCCUGACCAUUAAUUAUUUCCGAUGGAAAGGGGUUUUUCAGUCAAGCACACUUUCCGAGACUCCUGCCCCGUAAUUUUCCAAAAUUUUCUCAUUUUGUCCAGUUAUUGUUCAAACAUUUGUUUUAUUUUUUUGGAAAAUUUGUUUUUGUCGUUUUAGAAUUAUGUUACUUUAAUUGGACGAUAAUGAUAGUGUAGCAUUGCUCAUUAUCAAAUAAAUUUUUUUAAUGUAUUAAAUUAUUUAGUAUCUAAAGAUCACAUUGAUCCUAAUUAAUCUAGAUUUGAAUUAGAUAAAAUCAUUGAGCGUAAAUUUUUUUUAAUAAAUAUUUAAUAUAAUUAUAUUUUCAAGUCUCAAUUCGAGAAUUUCGAUCAAGUUUAAACAACCUCAUAUCAGUUGAUCAAAUAAUUUAUAAUCAGUGUUAACUGAUAAAAAUAUCCGAGGUAGGUGGUAGUUAUAUCACAAGAGAGUGACGCAGGGGCGCGUCAUUUGCCUUUUUCUUUGUUUCUUGGAGUGAAAAACGUGUGGCGGUGGCCGCCGAUAAAGGUGAAACAAAAGAAUGGGGAAAAGUUAAUGAAGAAAAUAGAAAGAAAUGGAAUUCUUCCAUUACUUUUGAUCAAUGUUGCUUUCUUUCUUUCAUUUUUAUAUCAAUUUGAUUAUGGCUAAACUGUUUUAGUUUAAUGAUUAUUGUUGAAUUCUACCAGACAAAAUUUACUAUGCACGUUACCCUCUUGAACAUUUUUUCGGUUGAAGAAUAUUUUCAAGUCAAGCACUCAUCUUACGUUUUUAAUUUGUUAAUAAAGUGUUGACUGAAAAAAAAAAAAAAAAAAGACAAACACACACAAAAUUAAUCUUGACAAUUAUUUCAGAUGAAUGGAAUUUUCCAAGUCAAGCACAUCUUGAAAAGCUGAGAAUGAAUUCGUUUGCUUGAUAUGGAGAGAAGGAACUUAUGGAAGUUCCAAGGAAAGAAAACACUAAUUCUUACAAGGUUAAUUUUGAUAUUAAAAGUCGUCUAAGUAUUGUUGCAGGGGGAGCGUUCUCAUACGUUAAAUAUUUUACUUUGAAAAGUGAUUUAAUUUUUAUCUAUUAGAUCUAUUCAAUUCAAUGGUAAGACGGAUUGAGACACGAAUACUGCUUUUUGACUUUAAAUUCUUACCAUCUAAUUGAAUGGAUCCAAAUAAUAAAAAAUUAAAUCAUAUUUUUCAGUAAAUUUUUUUAAGUUGAAAGGAACCUCACCUUAUUUGUACAGUGGUUAAGACUUUUAAAAAUGUAGUUAACCUUUAUAAUUAUUGUUUCUGAUUGUUGAGAUGAUUUUAUAUUCGCAGUUAUUUAAUAAAAAAAUUAUAUUUUUAUUAUUUUUAUCAAAUUAUUAUUUAAAAAUAAUACAUAGGAAAUAUUAAUAUAAUGAAUUUGCCUAGACCAAUACACUAUUUUCUUUUAAUUUUUAGAAUCAAAUCUUAUAUUAAGAAAUCUAGGAGUGAUAUAAUUUACCAACCUAAUUUGUUCUACCUUUAAUUCUUAUUUAUUUAUCAUUAUUAUAUAUUCUAUCAAAUUCUCAUUUUGUAGUUGUCGCGCAACUCCUUAUUGAUAUGGAAGCCAUAAAUGUUUUAAUCAUAUUUACUUUUAUGUUCAUUCAUGAAUAGCUCAAAUUAUUCCAAAGAUUUUCAAUUAAAUCCUUGUAACUAUUGGCAACGGUCUUACUCCCAUAAUUUGUACAAGUAGUUUUUUUUUUUUGGGCUAAUCACUAUUAUUCUAGAUAGGUUGUGGUACAUGAUUAUUUGGAUUAUUGAGCCCGAUUUGAUAAGUCAUAGUCAACGAACUGGAAUUCAUUUAUAAACGGACUUCUUAUUGCUAGUGUUUAAUUUGAAGGUGGUAUUUCUUAAAAUUGGGUAAUCUUGGACACAACUGUUGGGGCAGAAAUAUCAGCUACAUUGUUUUGAACCGGGUUGGUCCAUGUCCAUUCGAUCAAUGUGUAUUUUGAGCCCAAUAUGAUUUUGCUGAUUUGACUGUCUGUUGGCCCAAUAUUUCACGCUAUUUCAUGGGUUAUGCACUAGCUUUUAUUAACCAAUUUAGCCCUUCUGUGUGCGGAAAUUAUGGAAAAAUAAAAAAAAACAAAACAAAACAAAACAAAAGGGUAAAUAAGGUGAAAUAAGAUUGAAAGUGUGUGCCGGAGAAGCGUGAACCCUCUAAUUGUAUCAUAUGCGUAUAAUUGACAAUACCAUAAAGGCUUAAGAUAAGAAUAAAAAUUCAAUUUGAUACAAAUGCAAUAAUUCUACCAAUUCAUUUCCAUAUUCGCAAAGUUCCUCAUACGAUUCCCAUCAUUGACUUUCUUCUGUACUCUUGGAAUUUAUUUUUAAUCACCCAGUAAUAAUGCUCGUGACAAAAUGAUGAUAUACAUUGUGCUUUAAAUUAUCACAUGAAAUUUUCCAUAUACAUAUUAUCUUCAGUUAUAAUAUAAUUGGCGAGGGUGCGGUGGUGACCAAUAUGGAAAGCUACGAUCACGUCCAUUAACUGACCGUUAACAUUUAUUACUAAAUUUAGAGUUAAUUCCGAUCCAAAUAUGAAAGCAAUCUUGUAGCCUAAAUGCAUAUUCUAUUCUCCUCAUCACUCAGAAAAUGGAUACACAUUCAUAUCUUCAAAUACUUGCACUAUUAGUUAUCUCUCUCGGCUACAUUUUUUCAGUUGCAGAAGCUCAGGAUCAAACUGCAGGUUUCGGUUAUGUUAUUCGAUCAUCUACCAAUGAUUCCUCCUCACUGACUGCUGAUCUUGCCCUCAUCAAGAGCUCCUCCGUUUUUGGUCCUGAUAUUCAGAAUCUCAGUCUUUUUGCAAGGUGUUUCAAAAGAGUUGUUUUUAUUCAUUUAUUUUAUCAUUUUAUGCGUACAUAUAUAUAUACACACAUGAUUCUAUUGCUUUACUGCAGCUACGAAACAAAAGAUCGUUUGAGAGUCCGAAUAACAGAUUCAAAGAACAAAAGAUGGGAAAUUCCUGAAGAUAUAAUAGCCCGCCAAUCGAACUCCACACGAAACCAUCAAUUCCUUUCGGACCCCGAAUCCGAUUUGGUCUUCAACCUCCAUAACGCCACCCCAUUCGUCUUCUCCGUCACCCACAGGUCCUCCGGUGAAGUUCUUUCCGACACGUCGCUAAACGCCUCGAGUGCUGAUAUCGUCUUGGUGUUUAAAGAUCAGUACAUUCAGCUAUCUUCCGCGUUGCCAUCACAAGGCUCUGAUCUUUACGGACUCCGAGACAGCACGGAAGAAGACAUUCAAGCUGAAGCCUGACCAGAAACAGAUAACUUUGUGGAAUGCUGACAUAGCAGCAGCAGCUGUUGAUGUUAACCUCUAUGGCGCUCACCCUUUUUACAUUGAUUUGAGAUCCCCCAAUGGGACAACUCACGGUGUCUUGCUACUUAACAGCAAUGGCAUGGAUGUUGUUUACACUGGUGACAGAAUUACUUUCAAGGUUAUUGGAGGGAUUAUCGAUUUGUAUUUUUUCGCCGGUCCGUCUCCGGAUUCAGUCGUACAACAGUACACAGAAUUGAUGGGCCGCCCUGCCCCUAUGCCGUAUUGGUCCUUUGGUAAGUCCUGAGGCUUCACAUUCAAUUUGAAUAAUUUGUUAUUUAUAUGCUUAUUAUUGAUCAUUGGUUUGUUGCAAAAUGUGUCCAGGAUUUCAUCAGUGUCGAUAUGGUUUGUAGCUGCAGAUAAAGAAUCAGUUGGGCAUGGCUUCUCUGUUCGAUCAACAGUUGUUGACUCCUCACUGAAGUCGUUGACUGCUGGACUUGGCCUCAUCAGGUCCUCCUAUGUUUACGAACCUGAUAUUCAGAGCCUCAUAUCUUUUUGCCAGCUUUUAAAAUGUACGACUUAACUGUUCCUUGCUUUUAUGUAUUGUUCACUGACUGUUAGACUCAGCAGCCAGCGCGAUAAAGACUUGUUGCAAGUUCUAAAUUCUGAAUUUAAGAUUGAUUGAUGUGAUUAUCUUCUGAGUUUCUCUUCAGCUUGGAGACAAAAGUCCGUUUGAGAGUUCGAAUAACAGAUUUUAAAAAACAAAGAUGGGAAAUCCCGCAGGAAAUCAUCCCCCGCCAAUCCUAUUGCACUCACUGCUCUCUGCCGAAGAACAUAUUAAACUCACUGGUAAACAAGGAUAAAGAUUCAUUCCAUUUUCUAUACCUUAAUAAACGGUGCGUAAUGCUUUUUAUAUGUCUUCCAAAGAAAAAUAAUGACAAACUGCUUCACAAACAAAAUGCAUAAAUAAGUUACAAUUGCUUUCGAACCUUUAUUUUCUUAACUUCUGCCCGGAAUUGACUUGCUCCCAGAAAUACUUAGAACAACGUUUUUUUUUUAGGGGAUGAUAAAACCCAAAUCCUCCUAAAAUAGAUGUAAAUACAUAAAAAUAAAAGAAAAGAAUACACCAUCAAUUGAAAUAAUAAACUAGCAAUCCUCUUGUAUGAUAUGAGGAAAAGUUUGCGCAUUUAAAUAGAGAAUGCCAGAUAAGCCCGUAGGUAGAUUUGGAGUACACAAGAAACGCUGGCUAACCCGAUGAAUGCAAGCCUAGUUGGCCAGAAAAUCAGUAGCAGAUGUAGCCUCCCAAAGCACAUGUCUAAUCAAAAUAUGAGAAGAAGAUAUCAAAGCACACACCCGACGUAACAAAUAAGCAUAAUCCCAACAAACAGGGCCCUGAGAAUGAAUCUAAGAUACCACAAUGGCUGAAUCUGAUUCUACCUCAAGUGUAGAGUAUCCAAGAUGAGUAGCGAACUCUAACCCCUCACAAAUAGCCAUAAGCUCAGCAUAAAUAAUCGGUUGGCAACCAAGAAAAGAUCCAAAAGCAGCCAAAAUGUCAUCUUGAUGAUCACGAAGAAUACCACCCAUUGAACAACGUUAUUUGUUUUAUUCAUUUUACAGAAAAAUAAUGUAACAUACAAAAGCUCAAUACUAUCCUAUACAACUACAUGUGUAGCCUGCUACUUAUGUUUAUAUCUACUUUACUGAGACGGCUCAAACGCUGAUGAUUUCUUGAGCCAGUCAAUAGAAAAGAAUGUUGUGAAGAAGUAAAUUUUCUUUCAUCCUAACCUAGACAAUUUCAGACAUGACUUCUGGAAUUAUGAGAAAUUCAUGACAUAUCAAAACAAUGAAUACAAGUAUUAUCAAUAAGCCUAGUUUACAAGUCUCUCUGGCUCAGGAAUGAGAGCAGAGCUCACAUCAUUCCAGAAAUGAAAUGUCAAUGACCCACCUAGAAUUUUUUUUCCGUAGAGCACCUUGUUGAGCUUUUUCACUUUCUGUCGCUGGAGUGAUGAAAUAUCUGUUUGCAUUGAAGAUGUAUUAUGUCAAAAAUGAGAAAGUGUAGUUAAAACCAAAAGCACUCAACACUUAAAUGGUUGAGCUAUAAAAGAAUGGAUUUGUGCACAAACAUAAACCAGACAAACAUAAGUACAAUAGCAAGAAGGUGAAUAAAGAUGGUAAUGAUUUAAUGGAAAAAUCAUAAUUUAUAAGCAACAUAAGGAGUUAACUUAUAGUUCAUUGUGAAAAAAUAAAUUUAAUUUAUGGAUUCAGUGGUUACAGAGCUAUGCAAAGCUUAAGACACGCUUGAGCUUAAGCACAAAGCAGAGCACAUGCUAGGAUGUUAUUUUGCACAUUUUUAACCACAUGCAACCAUCAUGAAUCAUGGGUCAACCACUAGUGUAAAAAAUAUACUCAAUUUCUAAAAAUAAAAUGGUCCUCAUAGAUAGUGGUAGUCAAAACUCAAAAGCAGAAAAAAGUUCUUUCCUGACUAUUAAGCCUCGAAAAUACUAAGAGACGUCCCAAGUCUAACAAAAUGAUUUGGCAAAACUCUAUGAGACAUAUUGGCAAAACACAAUUAUCCUUCAAAUCAUCAUGAUAAAAUAGAUCAAUCGAAUAAUAUACCAGUAAGUACUCGACUGCAGAUCAGCAAAAAUAAGAUCAUUAAGAUAGGUUUCACUCUUUCAGAUCCCCGUACCCAUCCCAGUCUUGGUGAUUAAUGCAAUUACCAAGAGCAAAUGCAAAAUAUUUCACAUUUCCAAUGUGUUGAAUUAUGAAUCUAUGCAUGAAUGUAGGUCAUAAACAAGAAAAUUGUAAGAAGAUGGAAUAUUACCUUGUGAUAUUCUGUGGAUUAAUGAGCAAGAAAAUGAAGGACGGUUGUACAUUUAACUCAAUUUUUUCACUGUAAUUAUUAUCUUUACUUUCGAACCUUCUAGUAACUCGUUGUAAGAGAUCAGCACCAUUUCAUUUCAACGGGUUUCACCAUACGUCAAAUAGAACUCUUUUAAGCCCUCCAAUAUGAAAAGAAUGCAGAGAAAAGAGAUGCAAACCUCAAAGCUGGAAAUGCAGUUGUAGCAACGAAACAUAAUUUUUUUCAUGUAAAGCUCCUUUUUCCCAAGUAAUGACAGAAUCAAGAUGGUGCAUGUAAGGCUGUAACACCCGAAAUUUACGUAAGAAUCUCAAGGGGGAUUUGGAAUGAAAGCUCAUAACAUUAAUCUUAUUUUUAUUCUAAAAAGAAAAUCAAUAUUAUCGAUGAUUGAAAGAUGAUCUCUAAAAUAAUAAAUAUAACAAUAAUCCUCCCAAAAAAAACUCUAAACAAUAAUUAAAAUAGCAACAAACGAUUUAUCAAGAUAACACCAAAGCUUUUUAUCUAACAAAUCGUCUUCUCUAAACCCAAAAGUCUACACCUCUAAAAUCAAUCUGUAAAAUGUUGGAGACGAUGGGUAAGUCGUCAACUUAGUAAGCAAACUCAUGAAUAAAGUUACUAAUAACAAUAAAAUACAUACUAAUCAUUACGAAGUACCAUAAAUUAGAAAAUCAAUAAUUACUUCAUAAUCUAAUACAUAUGUACGUUAACACCCAUAAUCAAUAAAAUUAUAACAUAAAUAAUCAUUUUUAAUAAAUAAUCAUUUAAGAAAUCAUUUAUUAAUAAAACAUUUUCAUUUGUUCAAUUGUUCAUGCUUGUACUCCCGGUGACUUGGCUAGUAGUUCAGUAAGUCAACUGCAUCCCCAGUGACCGAGUCAGUAGUUCAAUCAGAGUAUGUUACCCUACAAUAAUCAUCAAUAGGUGUGCACAAUAUAGUUAGUUGCUCAGUAAUAUCAGAAAUAGCAACUAUAGACAAUGAGCCAAAACCUUAGAUAUAAUUUUCAGUCUUUCAACAUUAAUCAUUUAAUAAUAGUUCAAUAAAACGCUCUUAUAAGGCAUUUAAUUGGCAAAGCUUUAAAAAUAUUUAAAAAUAAAAUAAUUUAUGGAAAGACAAUUAUUUUAAAGUCAAUUUUUAAAACAAUUAAAAAAACAUUUUAAAUAAGCUUUUAGUCAAAAUAUAAUUUGUUUGAGGGAAAUACUCCGACGAGACCAGACAUGAUGAGCAGAUGUUUGGUGGCAGAAGUCUGCGAGCAGGUGUGUCCUGUAAGAGCCAGGUAGCAGGGGAACAGGGGCAGGAAUAUCCUGCUCAUCCACGAGCACGUCAUCCGUGAGGCCAAUUUCCUGUAAGAAGCAUAAAGCCAUUCCUGCUGUAUUCUUGCUAAGGGUUGAUUCGAGGAGACUCGGUCAACGACAGUUGGCGAGGCAUGCUCUCCAGCCCGAGAAUCUAGGCACGAAGGCCACGCAACCACCCACGACUACGGAAAUGGGGAAUCCACGUUCGAGAGGUGGGAGGAUAACGGGCGUAGACUGCGGAGAACUGGGAUUCAGAGGAUGCCUAUAAAAAGGUAGCCAGCGAAGGUAAAAGGGUUAGACUUUUUGCUAUUAGAACUAAGAAAAGAAAGUUCCGAGAACUGAGAUUAAAAAGAAGCCAUAAGAUUCGUGGCAAACAUUCCCAGAACCGCUAUUUCUGACUUGAGCGUCGGAGGGUUUGCGCAGGGAAAACAACCGGCGUACUCUGACCUAUCUGUGUGCGUAGGAACCUCUGGAGAAGAAGCUUUAUGAGGAGAGAUCCUGGUCGUGGUGAAGUUGAUCGAGCAGAGACCCUGGUCGUAGAACGAGGACAACCAGAAUCUCGCAUCAAUAUUUUGGCGCCGUCUGUGGGGAGCUGAGCAAAAAGCUUCUAUUGAUAGCAAGAAGAGAAGGAAAGCAACUGAAAAGCAAUGGAGACAGGAGGAAGUAGUGCACAAAGGGGUGAUAUGAGGCUUAACGAUUCUGUGACACUGAGGGAGAUAGCUAGUGAAGCACGGGAAAAAGCCAUGUUCGACCGGAUGGAACGGAUGGAAAAGCAGAUGGAGACCUUGACAACCAUCCUGCAUGAGCUGCGGAGCGAACGAAGUGUAACCCAGGAGGAAAGGGUGAGAGGGGGUGGAGUGGCACCAGGUCCCGAUAGUGCAAGGAGAAGUCAAACCACCGGGAGAUUUGGUGGUGAAAGAGGUAACAUACCUCUGCGGGGAGAAUUGCAUAGAGAGGAAGAGCAGUACCCGGCAAGACAGAUUUUUGACGAGGACGACGGGGUGGCGAAUGUAGAGGAAACAGAGUUGAGGCAACACUUGCAUGAUGUAGUGCAAGAGCGGGAUCAAAUCGCAGCACGUGACCCUGGUCGUGCAGAGCAGCUGGAGGAGGAAGUGCGCAGGCUAGCGCAGAUAAUUGACGACAUACAAGGGAGGAGCAGAGCUCCUGGUUGGAGGAUAAUGCUGGACGGAGAAUCACCGCUCGCAGCAGAGAUCAUGAGGACAGUUAUUCCAAGAGAUUUCCGCCUCCCUGACCUUAGAUACUCGGGAAGAACUGAUCCGCUGGUACACAUAGAGCGCUUCAACGACAUAACUGGGGUACAAGGAUUAUCUCAAUCCCAAAGGUGCAGGGUGUUCCCACUAUCCCUUGAGGGACGUGCACGAGAGUGNNNNNNNNNNNNNNNNNNNNNNNNNNNNNNNNNNNNNNNNNNNNNNNNNNNNNNNNNNNNNNNNNNNNNNNNNNNNNNNNNNNNNNNNNNNNNNNNNNNNNNNNNNNNNNNNNNNNNNNNNNNNNNNNNNNNNNNNNNNNNNNNNNNNNNNNNNNNNNNNNNNNNNNNNNNNNNNNNNNNNNNNNNNNNNNNNNNNNNNNNNNNNNNNNNNNNNNNNNNNNNNNNNNNNNNNNNNNNNNNNNNGCAUGCCAUUGAAGUACCUGACAUUACGUUAUAAGGAACCCGCCGGGGGUCAAAUUCUUCAUGACUUGGUCCAUAUUCAUUGGUGUAAGCAGCAAUUAUAUCAACUCCAGGUGCAAUGACAUCAGGCUGAAAAAGGUAUUAAGAAACUAUCAAACUAAUGUGAUAGUAAAUUAUCCAAGAAUGCUUAUAUUUUGAACAGCUAAUAGAACUGAAAGUUUACUUCGCUGGUCAACCUUGAGGAUAGCUGGAUCGAUCGAAUUUGGUCCCCUAGCUGAGAAAAAAGAUGUCAUCCGAGAAGAGUUCUUAUUGAAUUCUGUGAUUGAAUUUGUCAUGGAUGCCACUGGGUUCCUGUCAUAUAACAAGUCUGGCGCAUGAGUUGCAAUUAACAUUGACAAUUUGAAGAGAGGAAAUUUUGAGAAACCGGAAAUAUGGAUUACUUGGUGUUGUAUAUGUAGGCAUAGACAGAUUGACCAUCCUUGUAAUUCACAUAUGCAGUAGGGAGAAAGUGAACCAUAUUUAAACUUAUGUUUUGAUCUUCUCGGCUGUUGGCCAAAAUCAUCCCAACAGCACCUGCUUGAGCAGCUUGCUGUCCCUUUGCAUCUCCAAGUUUAGCAUCAUAGCAGAUCAAGAUUUUCCCUUUAACUUUCUCAGGAUCAAUCGUUCCAUUCUUGCAUUGGGUACUGCGUAUGAUCAAUUCAAGUAAAUUACAAUCCUGGCUUUUGUUAACUGCUUAAACCAAAAGUCAGGACAAAUCAUUUGAAAAAUGAAAACACUUAUAUUUACAGGUCACCAAUUGUACUCACGCGUCCUCAUUCGAUACAUUAGCAACUUUGGCAGCUUCUCCAGCAAUCAAUGGAUAGAAAUCUUGAGUUAACGAUCCUUUCUCCGCAAUACUUGCUCCCUGACACGUCAAUGUGAUCAAUUAUAUAAUACUUUAUGUUCUACAACUAGCGAAUGAUAAAUUCUGAAAAUUUAGUAAAUUCUGAAAAUUCAGUUGAAGGGAAAAGAGUACCUUAAUAACCAUCUUGUUGCCAAGUGUAACAUAACUGGAAAACUCCCUGUCUGUUGUGCUAGCACCAACUGUGAGUACCCAUGGAGGCACAUUAUCCACGGUCUUUUCAGCUGGUCCUGAGUUGCCAGCGGAUGCAACCACAAGAAUGCCAUGCAUCAUAGCAUGAAAACUACCAACUGCAACUGAGCUCUCAAAAUGUUCCUUUGGUUUUGAACCCAGAGAAGCCGAAAUGAUAUCAACACCAUCGUGUAUCGCGACAUCAAAGCCAGCAAUGAUGUCUGCAGCAUUGCACAAAUUUGCUCCAUUUGGCUUCCAACAUACCUUGUAAGCAGCUAAACGGGCUUUGGGUGAUCCCCCUUUUGCUGUUCCAUAUCCCAUACCAUAAAGACUGACAUUAGAAACAAAGCUGCCACCAGCAGUUGACAGUGUGUGUGUGCCAUGGCCAUUGUGGUCUAUUGACGUGGUUAAGUUUUCAGGAACCAAAAAGCUGGAGUUCAUUGCACGACAACUUUCAAUUAAACCUUCGCUUAUGUACCUUAUUCCUAUCAGCUUCCUGCAUGUAGAACGCAAAUGCGAAACCAACUAAUUAGAAAGCGUGCCAGAGGCUUUUGAAGAUCAUUGAAAUAUGCUCGAAAUCGAAAACACAAUGUGGAUGAGAUAAAAGACCUAUUGCAAGUAAUUGCUUUAUUGGUGUCAUUUUGACAGGUUCCUUGCCACCUAUCUGGAAUUGGGCCCAUCCCUUCAUCCGUAAAACUCUGUGAUUCCGGCCAAACACCUUUUAGUAGUACAUGCCAUAAAAAUGAUUAGCAUUAAUGUAACAAACAAAUCCGGAAAAUAAGCAAACACUACAAGAGCAUUCCAAGUUACCUGAGUCAAGGUUUCCAAUAAUUACGUCUUCGCCAAACCGUGCCUUGUUCCAUGCUGAAUCCGGAGGAAUUUGAUUGUCUUUCUCUAAUCCAAGAAAUUCCCAUGAUCGUGUUGUGUGCAGAUCUAUUCCCUCUUCCAAAAAAACUGAUACAACUUCUGGGUGCCCUAUUUCCGAAAAAGAAAAAAUUACCAUUAAGAUGGAACAACAAACACAGAGAACUUAAAUAAAGUUUACACAACUAGACGGCUGACUUGCAAUCUGCUUUGCGUGUUCCUCUUCAAGGACUGCGCCGAAACCAUUGAUAUAUCGCCCGUAAGAGUGGAAGAUUAAGCCUGCUGCCUCCUCAACGCUGUUCAAAAAAAUUAUGUAAAAGAAAAUGUUGAUGCUAACUGAGCUAGGAAAAAGAAAAAAAUUCCAUUAGAGUUGUUUACGAAUCCUCCACCUUCCCAAGAAUGAUCCAAGAAAUUCAUGGUGUUUAAUUCUUGCUCGAUUGAUAUCAUGUGAGGUAGGAUUGCUACCAUGUGAAUGUGAUCCUAAGUAUACCACAUAAGGCUGCAAGAAAGAUUUUGAACCUUAUUAGCAUUGGAGUUUAUGGAUUUAGUUUUGCAUUUUUACUAGAUUUUCUUACAAUCAAAAUAAAGGCUUGCCUUUUUAGCAGUAAAAGCUGGAGUCUGCAACAGAGAGAGAAUAAAGAACAAUAGCAGCAGAACAAAACCAUUUGAGAGCCUCAUGAUUUAUGCUGGUAUUUUUUCUGCUGCUAUCUUCUCUCUCAAUACAGAGAACUAAAAUAAUUUCUUUCAGAAGAAAUACUUAUCGAGCCUCUGUUUUUUCUUUUUCCCAGGUUUAAAAUUACUCUGUUUUCCCUUUUUUUUUUAGGUGAGACUUGUGACAUUUGCUGGAAUCAAAAUUUUGAAUAAUUGGUUUUGGAGUCAAAAGUGAUUACGGGAAUGUUGUUGCCACUCAGGUAUUUGCUGUGUUUACUAAUUUCAGGAAACCGUGUUAUGCACAGAAAAUCAAGGGUCAAAAUUUAUUCGAAGAGUACCAGGGAUAGGAAUGAAGAAACAAACAUCAAAACAUCAAGAUAUUUUCUGUGUUACAGCUUAAUCAUUCCUUGAAAAAAAUGAGAUAUGUAUUUCGUAUCGAUGGCAAAGGCAAGUCUGGAACGUAUAAUAAACUUUUGAUUCUUUUAUCAUUUUUAUUUUUCUAACACUUAAUUUUGCACUAAAUUUAAACAAUGCUUAAUUAAAAUCCAAUAAACUCUCUUAUACCUUUUUUUUAUAAUUAUUGACUCAUUCAAACUUGAACGACCUGUAUUGUGUAACUGAUGAAACAAAUCAGAAAUGAUUUAAAAACGGCAGCAUAUAUUGCGUUUUGAAGUUACUCAAGCCAAAACAACAGAAGAUGCAUCGUUUUAAUGAGUGUUGAUAUUACUUGUUAAAAAGAUAUGUCAAGUUGCCGUUUCAUUUAAGCCGUUAUUGUUGAAAACUUAGAAGGACUGAAUUGCUCAAAACUGAAACCAUUUGAGCAAUAGAAUAAUUUUGUUAAAUUAAAGAAUUUUAUUUAUAUUUUACAAGAGACACUACAACGCUCACAGCUCACACUUCUUAUUUUUCUCUCUCAUUCUUCACUUCUCAUUUGAUGCCUAUAACAAAGAGUUUAGGGCAUUUAUAGUAACCUAGAACUAGUACAAACCACUCAAAUAUAAAGUUACAAAAAAUUAACACAUUUUACAAAUAUCACUAAAUAUUCAAGAGUUUUCUAGAUUUAGAUAUUUUCACCUUCAUUAGAUUUUUUUUUUUUUAGAUUGAAGUCAUCUCUCAUUCUCCACACAAUUCUUGAAACUUCCAUGGAUUGAGUUUUGAAAUUGAGCUUGGACAAGUAUAAUUGGAUUGGAUUAUAAAAUUGGUGUUGAACUUUUAACACUCCCCCUCAACACUAACUAUCAUCUUUCGAUCCACAUUGAGUUGUUGGUGGAACUCUUCAAACUUUUCGGUACUAAGAAUUUUUGUAAACAAAUCAGUAUCUUAAUCGUUUGUCUUGACGUACUUCAUCUCAACUUCACCUUGUAAAACCUUUUCCCCAAUGAUGUGAUACUAGACCCCUAUAUGUGUAGUUCUUGCAUGGAAAAUUGGAUUUCUGCUGUACCGUACAUCCGCCUUGGCCGUACAGCAGGCGAAAGGAACGUGGGCUAAGAAAAAUAUAUUGAAAUUAUUUAUAGAUUUAUAACUACCAGUAGUCAUGAUUGCAGAUUUGAUAGCCGCUGGACUCCAGUCAGGGUGUAGAGUUUUGAGAAGGCCAGCAAUACCAGAAAUAUGGGGGGUUGACAUUGAAGUGCCGAAACACGCAUUGAAAGGAAUUCUGCGAUCAUCGCUUGGACUCUUACUUGGAGCUACUGCUUCAGAGUAGGCGGCAAUUAUUUCAACUCCAGGUGCAGUGAUAUCAGGCUGAAAUUGGAUAUUAAAAAUUUACAAAAUGUUCCAAUAUGAAGUUAAUUACCAAAGAAUGUUACUUUUAUUAGAACUAAAAGAUGAAUGAUGGUUUAGUUCUUUUGUCAACCUUGAUGAUAUUGGGAUUAAUAGUAGAUGGUCCCCUGGAUGAGAAGAAAGUCAUUUGUGGAGAUGGCUUCGUAUUGAAUUCUGUCUUUACAUCACUGACGGAUGCUACCGGGUUCCUGUCGGACAGUAAUGUUAAGCAACAGGAUGCAUAUCCGUAAAAUUGAAUUCUUAGUAAAUUGGAAUUAUUCGUGAAAAGAAGGGAAGUGAAAAGGGUAAGUGAGGUACUUGAUCGAGUUGUUGUAGGCUAUGAUAGAUUGAGCAUCAUCGAAUUCAACUAAUGAAGUCGGAAGGUGGUAAGGCAAGGGCAGAGAUUCAUUUUCCAGCUGUUUGGGGUUGACUAAGAUCAACCCCGCAGCACCAGCUUGAGCAGCCAGCUGGCUCUUAUCAAUUCCGUGUGUGUGGUUCAUGCACAGCAAGAUUUUCCCAUUAAUCUUUUUUGGAUCAAUCGCUCCUGGGUUGCAUUCUAAGCUGCAAGAGGUUCAAGCAUUGGCUUUUGUCACAAAUAUAUCGCUCUCACAUUAGAAUUUAAGCCGCUCAUACAUAUAUAUCAUUAAAAGGACAUUACAAAACGGAAAUCUUUAAUACUGACAAUUCACUGGAUUUACUUGCCUAUCAUAGAGUGCUGCGUUAGUGGCCCUUGCAUUAUCUCCUGUAAUCAAUGAGUACAACGUUUGUGUUGCAACGCCUUUAGCCGCAAUGCUUUUUCCCUGGCAAACCAAUAUAGUGAAAUUGCCUCGCAUGUUAUUUUCACAGCCAUAUCAGAAGAGACUGGUGAACUAGUUUUAUUAGUUUUCAAACUUCAUUUACACUCUGACCUGUUAUAUAUGAUUCAGAACAAAUUUGCCAUAGCAACUUCACCUAGGUUGAGUUUGCAGAAUUUAUAAAUUUAACACGAAGGAGAUCAAUUUGAAAUGAAAAAUGGCCAAAUAGCAAAAAUUAGGGAAUACCUUGAAGAUCUGCUCGUCUCCAAGGGUAACAUAGCUAGUGAACUCUCUGUCCAUUGUGCUAGCACCAACCGUCAAUAACCAUGGUGCCAAAUUUACAACAGUAUCUGGUUUCGGUCCUUCAUUCCCAGCGGCUGCAACCACAAGAAUACCAUGCAUCAUAGCAUGAAAGGAACCAAUAGCAAUGGCAUCUUUAAAAUACUCGGUAUUUUUGUGACUAGGUUCGCCUAGUGAAACGGACAAUACAUCAACACCAUCAUGUAUCGCAUCAUCAAAAGCAGAUAAGAUGUCAGAAUCACGGCAAUCUAGUGGUUGACCAUUAACGUUCCAGCAAGACUUAUAAGAAGCCAAACGGGCCCUAGGAGAUCCUCCUUUUGCUGUUCCGUACCCAUUACCAAAAACACUCACGUUAGCUACAACGUUACCAACAGCCGUUGAUGCAGCAUGUGUGCCGUGGCCAUCAAGGUCUCGAGCCGUGGAAUGUUCGGGAGUCGGAUAAAAAGAUGAAUUUUGUGCACGAGCAUGUUCAAUUUGACCUUGGUUGUAGUACCUCAUUCCUAUUAGCUUUCUGUACACAACGUCCAACAUAUUGGAAAACUCAGAUACAAAAGAUUAUGUUCAUUUCAGAGAAUGGUAGAAAGUGUAAAGACCUAUUGCAUUGAAAUCCAUAAUGGGUGUCAUUCUGACAAAUUCCUCGCCAUCUUGAAGGCACCGGACCCAUUCCUUCAUCACUAAAGCUCUUCGAUUCCGGCCAAACACCUUUCAAUAUACCAUGAAUAUACAACAAGAGAUAUCAAGUCCAACAGUUAUUGAUAGAAGUAAUAGGGACAAAAUGAACACAAUUUAUUGAAUUUAUGUAAAAUUAAGGAUGUUGAACCAAAACAGACCAGAGUCAAUAACUCCAAUAAUAACAUCUUCACCAAACCGUCCCUUGUUCCAUGCUGAAUUUUGGGAAAUUACGUUAUCUUUCUCUAAUCCAAGAAAAUCCCAAGACCGAGUUGUUUGAACUUUUCUUCCUUCAUCCAAGAAAAUUGAUAGAACUUCUGGAUGCUCUAGAUAAAAAAAAAAAAAAAUACAACAUCCAUUUAUGAAAGAAAUACAGCGAUUGCAGAAUCAGAAAUUGGUAAAUUUGAAACGCUAACUUGCAAGUUGUUGGGCAUGUUCCUCUUCGAGAAUAGCAGCAAAGCCAUUGAUAUGCCGGCCGUAGGAGCAAGAGAUUGAAUCUCUUGCCUUCUUAACACUGUUGUUAAAAAUAACAAAGCUCAAAAGAGUUAAUGAUGUUGAGUAUAUCAGCAAAACCACAUAAUUGGUUAGGAAGCUUUUACCUUCCGAAGAAUGAUCCAAGAAAAUUGUGGUGAUGAUUUCUUGCACGAUUGAUAUCAUCAGCUGUGGGAUUUUUACCAUGUGAAUGUGUUCCUAAAUAAACUAUAUAAGACUGCAAGAUUUACAAACGUGAAAUUAAUGUACGGUUAAUGCUCAAUUAAAGCACAUUAUUCCAAAAAAAAAUUAAUAACAUGUAACUACAUUGCAAUUGGAAAAGGAAAAUAAUAAUAAUAAUAAUAAAAGACAUAAAAAUAGCUGGUAAGGCUUACCUUUUUGGCUGCAAAAGUUGGUGUUAGCAAAAGAGAGAACAAUACCAGGACAUACAAAUUUGAAACCCCCAUGGUUUCUGAUUUGAAAUAUAAGCCUGGUAUUUUCUCUUCCAAGAGAAGUUCUCUUGAAGAGAUGCGUAUGAGAACUCUGUCUUGCACAGGUUCUAUCAGUCUGUUUCUUCCGUUUGACAUGCGUCAUUUUCGUUGUCCGGAGUUGAAGUUUUUUAUGACCACAAUUUCAGGUUGGAUUGACUAUAUUGAGUGAGACCCUCCCGUAAGAAUCAAUCACGUCCUGUAUGUUUGGCUUAAAUACAAUAUGUAUCCAAUUAAUUUGAAAAUUAUAAUGAAAACACUGUAUAUAAUUCUUUUUUAAAGCUAGAGUGGUAGGCAAAGGCCAAAUCAAAUUUUUAAGCAUUAAUUAGUUAAGAGGGUGCUUGAAUAAGAAAAUCUAACAUUAAAAAAUUAAAUCUUUAAACUCUUAUUUGUUCCUUUUUCUUUAUUUAUUAUUUUAUUUUGAAAUGUUUAUUUUCUUUAGUUUAUUAUUACUUAUAAUAACUUAUUGGUUUUUAACUCAUUUCAAGUUUACAAUAAUUAAAAAAUUUAAAAAAUAGAUGAAAGUCCAGGCCCGACCCCGCAAUGGACCUAGCCCAAGCGUGGCCCUUAUGCUUCGAACCCUAAGCCCAAACCUACAUUGUGCCAUUAGGGAUGGCAAUGGGGAGGGGAGGGGAGGGGACCGAUCUCCCCGUAUCCAUCCCCGAUAUUUUGCGAAUGUCCCCAUCAGAAUUACUUGAGAGAAUCCUCAUCCCCUCCCCGAAUUAUAACAUGGGAUCCCCAAGGGUCCCCGAUCCCCGAAUAACUAAUACAAUUUUUAUUUUCGAUUUUGAGUUAAUCAUAUUAAAAUAAAAAAUUCAAAUAAAAGUAAAGUUUGAAAUAUAUCUUACAUUAAUAUCCAUUACAAAAGUCACAUAUAUUAAAUUAGUAAGUAACACAGCAUGUAAGGGAUACAAACUUCUUUUACAAACUAUCGUGAAUAAAUUAAUAGUCUUGUUUGAGGGAAAUACUCCGACGAGACCAGACGUGAUGAGCAGAUGUUUGGUGGCAGAAGUCUGUGAGCAGGUGUGUCCUGUAAGAGCCAGGUAGCAGGGAAACAGGGGCAGGAAUAUCCUGCUCAUCCACGAGCACGUCAUCCGCGAGACCAAUUUCCCGUUAGAGGCAUAAGGCCAUUCCUGCUAGGGGUCGAGGCGAGGAGACCCGGUCAACGACAGUUGGCAAGACGUGCGUUCCUAUCCGAGAAUCAAGGCACGAAGUCCAUCUCCAUUCGCCCACAAUGACGACAAUGGGGCAUCCACAUCCGAGGGUGGGGAGAAUAAUGGGCGUGGACUACGGAAGACCGGGAUCAAAGGAAGCCUAUAAAAAAGUAGCCAGCGAAGGUAAAAUGGUUAGAAUUUUUGCUAUUAGAACUGAGAAAAGAGAACUCUAAGAACUGAGAUUAAAAAGAAGCCAUAAGAUUCGUGGCAAACAUUCCCAGAACCGCUAUUUCUGACUUGAGCGUCGGAGGGUUUGCGCAGGGAAAACAACCGGCGUACUCUGACCUAUCUGUGUGCGUAGGAACCUCUGGAGAAGAAGCUUUAUGAGGAGAGAUCCUGGUCGUGGUGAAGUUGAUCGAGCAGAGACCCUGGUCGUAGAACGAGGACAACCAGAAUCUCGCAUCAAUAUUUUGGCGCCGUCUGUGGGGAGCUGAGCAAAAAGCUUCUGUUGAUAGCAAGAAGAGGAGUGAAGCAAGUUAAAAGCAAUGGAGACAGGAGGAAGUAGUGCACAAAGGGGUGAUAUGAGGCUUAACGAUUCUGUGACACUGAGGGAGAUAGCUAGUGAAGCACGGGAAAAAGCCAUGUUCGACCGGAUGGAACGGAUGGAAAAGCAGAUGGAGACCUUGACAACCAUCCUGCAUGAGCUGCGGAGCGAACGAAGUGUAACCCAGGAGGAAAGGGUGAGAGGGGGUGGAGUGGCACCAGGUCCCGAUAGUGCAAGGAGAAGUCAAACCACCGGGAGAUUUGGUGGUGAAAGAGGUAACAUACCUCUGCGGGGAGAAUUGCAUAGAGAGGAAGAGCAGUACCCGGCAAGACAGAUUUUUGACGAGGACGACGGGGUGGCGAAUGUAGAGGAAACAGAGUUGAGGCAACACUUGCAUGAUGUAGUGCAAGAGCGGGAUCAAAUCGCAGCACGUGACCCUGGUCGUGCAGAGCAGCUGGAGGAGGAAGUGCGCAGGCUAGCGCAGAUAAUUGACGACAUACAAGGGAGGAGCAGAGCUCCUGGUUGGAGGAUAAUGCUGGACGGAGAAUCACCGCUCGCAGCAGAGAUCAUGAGGACAGUUAUUCCAAGAGAUUUCCGCCUCCCUGACCUUAGAUACUCGGGAAGAACUGAUCCGCUGGUACACAUAGAGCGCUUCAACGACAUAACUGGGGUACAAGGAUUAUCUCAAUCCCAAAGGUGCAGGGUGUUCCCACUAUCCCUUGAGGGACGUGCACGAGAGUGAUACAGGAAACUUCCUCGGGGCAGCAUUAAAACCUUCGAGCAGAUGUGCCAGGAAUUUGUAGAGCAGUUUAGUGGGGCAAUGGCACCAGAAGAUGACAUAAUGGAGCUGAAAAGCAUGAAACAAGGGGAGCAAGAAACCCUUCGGGAAUUCAUCAAGAGGUUUCAUCGUGCUGUCCUCGACUUGGGAGCCUUCAACCAUCCUCAGGCGUUAAGGGGAUUGAAAGAAUGGGUGAAGAUAGGAAGGCUGUGGUACAACUUGAAAAGCCCAGUUAUUCAGACGUAUGCGGCCGCAUAUGAGUAGGCUAAAAGAGACAUUGAGAUUGAAGAUGAGAAGGCAGCACGGAUUAAGACAGACCAGUUAGAAGAGUGGGGGAGGAAAGAAAAGAAAGCAUUACCGGGGAAUCGGCCGAUCAGGAGGAGGGACCACCAGGCCUCGGGUAAUGGAGCAGGAGGUCGGGUAACUGCUUACCAGCCUCAUCAGAGGCCACCACAGUAUCAGCACAGCAGGGCGCAACCUCCUCGUUCCCCAGCUGGGGAGCCUUGGAGAAGGCAUGACUCGACGUAACAAAGCUACCCAGCAGGAGGGAUAGGGGACGCUAUUGUAAGUUCCAUGGCACUCAUGGCCACACCACAGUAGAUUGCAGGGAUCUCAAGACCUAGGUUGAAGAUUUGGUGAGAAAUCGGUAUUUGGAUGAGUUUAUAGAUGGGACCUUCCCAAUGGUAGCCUCGACAAGCGAAGGGGAGCAGAAUGACAGGAACUUGAGGCGCGAUCAGCCUGCAGUAAGGGUGAUAGAUGGGGGCCCAACAUUGGCCGGAGAUUCCAACAGGUCAAGGAUGAAUUAUGCUAGAUAUGCCAUGACCAGCAAAGAUGUAUUCUUCAACACCCCAGCAGCCAAACGUGCAAGAGUCAGGCAAGUGCCAAUCAUGUGGACAGAUGAGGAUGAAGAAGGGAUUCUAUACCCCCACGAGGAUGCUUUGGUCAUCAAGGCCACUGUUGCCAGCAAGAAAUUUGACAGGAUACUGGUUGACAUAGGGAGCUCAGUUGAUGUGUUGUUUAAGUCAACCCUGGAGGAGAUGGGAAUAGCAGACCUAAAGUUGGAUUACACCAAUACCUCAUUGAAGUGGUUUGGAGGAGGAAAGUUGGUCCCUCUGGGCGUGGUCGAGCUGCCUAUCACGAUUGGGAGCUCCCUGACAUAAAGGACAAUGAUACUGGACUUUGUGGUAGUGGAUGAGGAAGGUCCUUAUCAGAUGAUCCGAGGCCGGCCAUUUCUGAGGAUGAGCAAAGCGAUGCUGUCCAACCAUUAUCUGGCUCUCAAGUAUCGGAUGAAUGGGGUAGUUGGAGUGGUACGAGGAGACCAGAGAAUCGCACGAAGCUGUUACUCCUCGGCAGCAAAGGAAGCAAUGCAGAUAACAUCCCUUGAUACCCGAGUGGAAGCCAGGAAUGGCAGCUAGUUGGACCCGGAGUUUACAAGUUGGUUCGCACGGAGGGCCACGAGGUGAAACGCCCCUGGAGCGCGGCACACCUCAGGAAAUAUUUCAAAUAGACUUACUCAUGUUUUAAAUUUUUUUUUUGUUCGUGUCCGUUGUUUUCUAUUUUUUAUUUCUUAUUUCAAAGCAACCUCAUGUAAGCCGAAUUCAAUAAUAAAUGAAUCAAUGAGGAGUUUCAGUCAACUACACUGUUCAAGAAAUUAUCAAAGGCAUGCAAAGGCUCACCAAGUCUCAAAGCCUGUUUAUGGCGAGACCAGAAGCCAAGCGUGCCAGGAUCUGCUCGACCACGAGAAGGCGAGCAGAAUCCCAAGCUUUCCAGAAAUUAUCAAAGGCAUGCGAAGGCUCACCAAGUCCCAAAGCCUGUUUAUGGCGAGACUAGAAGCCAAGCGUGCCAAGAUUUGCUUGACUGAGUUUCAGUUAACUACACUGUUCAAGAAAUUAUCAAAGGCAUGCAAAGGCUCACCAAGUCUCAAAGCCUGUUUAUGGCGAGACCAGAAGCCAAGCGUGCAGGAUCUGCUCGACCACGAGAAGGCGAGCAGAAUCCUAAGCUUUCCAGAAAUUAACUAAGGCAUGCAAAGGCUCGUCGAGUCUCAAAGCCUGUUUAUGGCGAGAACAGAAGUCAAGUGUUCCAGGAUCUGCUCGACCACGCGAAGGUGAGCAGAAUCCCAAUCAUUGAAGAAAUUAUCCAAGACAGGCAAAGGCUCGUCAAACUUCAAGGCCUCCUCUGUGACGAGGACAUAAGCCAAAUAGAUAAAUAAAUUAAAAUUCCAAUGCGAGGAAGCAAAUAAGAACAAUCUUAUUAAGCUCUUAAAAGUUUACAAAGUUGUUAUAUAGAAUAUUCAAAAAGCAAUUACAGCACAAGAUAAGUUCAAGAAGAUGGCGGAUCAGUAUGCCGAGCAGCAUCGAUUGGCUGGACCUCCUCAGGUGCAUGAGGGGUAUCACCAGUUGCGUCCAGGGGGGUGCUCGCUGUUGUGCAAAUUUUAAUGUACUCGCAAGCGCACGAAUCUAUUGUAGUGUAGAUCAAUGGUGACGAGUGUCGAUCCCACGAGGAGGAGGAUUUUAAUUGUGUAUAGAAUUAAUUUUGCAAAAUGGGUGGUUGGAAUUAUGGUGGAAGUGAUUUAAGUUAUCCUAAAAUUGGAAUUGAAAUUGCGAUAAUAAAUUCUAAAAUUGGAAUUGCAAUGGCGAGAAUAAGUUGAAGCGAAAUCUAUUGAAAUGACGUACUUGGGUAUCUGGAUCCGUAUCAACAUGCAUCAUGGGCUAAAUAAUCCGUAUUAAUGCCAAUUAAAUCAUGAGGGGGGAAUCCACACCUCAUGAACCACGCUCUAAUCAAUAUGGUGCUAAGGGCUUAUCGUGCCAAAUAAUAAUAACCUUAUACUAGAGAGCCGGUGUAACCAAGGCGGUACUAGACAAGAUUAGUAUUAUUUGUCGACGAGAAGUCAAAACACCCACAAAAACUAGAGGGGAAGAGAAAAUAAAUUUACCAAAUAAAGCCCAUGACACAUGUUGAGACUUCACCUCUGCUGUACCGUACAUCCGCCUUGGCCGUACAGCAGUUUUUUUUUCUUUUUUUUUUAAUUUUACCAUAUAUUUUUUUUUAAAGGGUUAACUUAAAAGAAAUCUAGAGAUCGUGUAUAAAAUAAUAAACUGCUAAGCUGUAUAGACAAUGGGCAAAAGGGUUACUCNNNNNNNNNNNNNNNNNNNNNNNNNNNNNNNNNNNNNNNNNNNNNNNNNNNNNNNNNNNNNNNNNNNNNNNNNNNNNNNNNNNNNNNNNNNNNNNNNNNNNNNNNNNNNNNNNNNNNNNNNNNNNNNNNNNNNNNNNNNNNNNNNNNNNNNNNNNNNNNNNNNNNNNNNNNNNNNNNNNNNNNNNNNNNNNNNNNNNNNNNNNNNNNNNNNNNNNNNNNNNNNNNNNNNNNNNNNNNNNNNNNNNNNNNNNNNNNNNNNNNNNNNNNNNNNNNNNNNNNNNNNNNNNNNNNNNNNNNNNNNNNNNNNNNNNNNNNNNNNNNNNNNNNNNNNNNNNNNNNNNNNNNNNNNNNNNNNNNNNNNNNNNNNNNNNNNNNNNNNNNNNNNNNNNNNNNNNNNNNNNNNNNNNNNNNNNNNNNNNNNNNNNNNNNNNNNNNNNNNNNNNNNNNNNNNNNNNNNNNNNNNNNNNNNNNNNNNNNNNNNNNNNNNNNNNNNNNNNNNNNNNNNNNNNNNNNNNNNNNNNNNNNNNNNNNNNNNNNNNNNNNNNNNNNNNNNNNNNNNNNNNNNNNNNNNNNNNNNNNNNNNNNNNNNNNNNNNNNNNNNNNNNNNNNNNNNNNNNNNNNNNNNNNNNNNNNNNNNNNNNNNNNNNNNNNNNNNNNNNNNNNNNNNNNNNNNNNNNNNNNNNNNNNNNNNNNNNNNNNNNNNNNNNNNNNNNNNNNNNNNNNNNNNNNNNNNNNNNNNNNNNNNNNNNNNNNNNNNNNNNNNNNNNNNNNNNNNNNNNNNNNNNNNNNNNNNNNNNNNNNNNNNNNNNNNNNNNNNNNNNNNNNNNNNNNNNNNNNNNNNNNNNNNNNNNNNNNNNNNNNNNNNNNNNNNNNNNNNNNNNNNNNNNNNNNNNNNNNNNNNNNNNNNNNNNNNNNNNNNNNNNNNNNNNNNNNNNUCUGCUGUACCGUACAUCCGCCUUGGCCGUACAGCAGUAAAGAAGUGAUAUCACAUGCUCUCACCAAGAUGAAAUAAAUAUGCCCUCAGCUUAGAAAUAAUACGAUCUCAAGUCAAAUAAAAUGUUAGUCAACCCACUUUAUUUAUCUUUUUUUUUUAUUAAUUUUACCAUACCUCCUUGAAGGGGUUUGGAGGAGGAAAGUUGGUCCCUCUAGGCGUGGUCGAGCUGCCUAUCACGAUUGGGAGCUCCCUGACAGAAAGGACAAUGAUACUGGACUUUGUGGUANNNNNNNNNNNNNNNNNNNNNNNNNNNNNNNNNNNNNNNNNNNNNNNNNNNNNNNNNNNNNNNNNNNNNNNNNNNNNNNNNNNNNNNNNNNNNNNNNNNNAGCUAUCCAGAUACAGGGUAACGUAUCCCCUAGGAGGCCGGUUAGGAGUAUCCUUCUUUCCUGGGACCUUGAGAGGUAUCUCACCAGGAAUGCUAUACCUAAGCCGGAGGUCACUGAGGUCGUGCACGUCAUGUAAUCAAUGGCAUAAUCACGCGACAAGGCUCUACCUCCUACUGUAGCCCGUUCUUCUGGUCGUGAUGUUCCAGAUGGAGACACCUCACCAGAGUCACCUUCUUCAUUCUCACUUAAGGUGUCCUCAGAGCCAGAAGGUCCCUCCUCACCAUUGUUUCCGCUCGUGGAGGUUGUUUGGGGGGACAUCCUCCUAGCACUAGUCCCGACACUAAACCUAAUGGGUUCUAAGGGGAUCCCGGGGUCAAAAGCAGGAUCAGUGAGCAGACCAGGCAAGAAACCUAGUUCGUCGUCAUCAAUCUCAACGACUUUCUCCCUACCCUUCGACAUUCCCUAGGUAAUAACCAAAACACCACCACCAACUACUACCCCAAGCAAAACAAAGAAAAAAGAAGUUUUCUACAAACUAUCCGAGACCGAGGAAAAAGAAGUAAUACCUGAAGUACUGUUUCAGUCGGAGAAAGGCAAUGAUGGGGGCUUUUAUGCCGAAACUUCUUCGCCGGAAAGACAUGGACAGAGACGGUGGAAAUGGCUAAUUUCCCUUCGAGAGGUUUUGCUUCGCCGGAGAGACAUGGACAGAGACGGUGGAAAUGGCUAAUUUCCCUUCGAGAGGUUUUGGGUUACCUUAUUGGAAGAAAAACCCUUGGAUAGCCAGCAUUUAACAGCAUCGAAUCCUGAGGGUCUCGUAACCGUCGGUUUGAAAUUCAAAAUGGAGGGGUGGAUCUCUGCCACAUCACCUAAUCCGCAAUUAAAUGCGACACGACUCUUGACAGCCUUUUCCAGUCCCACGCGACCAAGAACCGCUAAGUUUCUACUAUUGGUCCAUUACAUUACCCAACACCAGAAACUGGGGGACCGGUGUUUGAGGGAAAUACUCCGACGAGACCAGACGUGAUGAGCAGAUGUUUGGUGGCAGAAGUCUGCGAACAGGUGUGUCCUGUAAGAGCCAGGUAGCAGGGGAACAGGGGCAGGAAUAUCCUGCUCAUCCACGAGCACGUCAUCCGCGAGGCCAAUUUCCUGUAAGAAGCAUAAAGUCAUUCCUGCUGUAUUCUUGCUAAGGGUUGAUUCGAGGAGACCCGGUCAACGACAGUUGGCGAGGCAUGCUCUCCAGCCCGAGAAUCUAGGCACGAGGAAGCCUAUAAAAAGGUAGCCAGCGAAGGUAAAAGGGUUAGACUUUUUGCUAUUAGAACUAAGAAAAGAAAGUUCCGAGAACUGAGAUUAAAAAGAAGCCAUAAGAUUCGUGGCAAACAUUCACAGAACCGCUAUUUCUGACUUGAGCGUCGGAGGGUUUGCGCCGGGAAAACAACCGGCGUACUCUGACCUGUCUGUGUGCGCAGGAACCUCUGGAGAAGAAGCUUUACGAGGAGAGAUCCUGGUCGUGGUGAAGUUGAUCGAGCAGAACCCUGGUCGUAGAACGAGGACAACCAGAAUCUCGCAUCAACAUAAUUUAUUAUCAUAAGUUAUAAGAGUAGAAUAACUCCAAAACCAUAUAAUGUCAAUCCAUAUUAACAAUAUUAUUAUUUUCCUAGAUAUUUACAUAUAUAACUAUAUUCAACAUUAUGCAUAACUUCACUUACCUUGAUUCGAAGCAAUCAAUAAUAACCCCAAUCACAUGAGCUCACUUUUGGCCUAUAAUUAUCAAGAUAAGAUAUUUAUCAACAUUCUAUUCGAUUAUGACUUUGAUAAGAAAACCCAAAAAUCCUUAAACCAUUUACUCAAGCAUAUCAAUUCACUAAACUACACUAGACUAUCUUACAAGAGCUGAUUUCUAAUAAGAUAUAACUAUAUCGUAAAAAUCACAUAUAUUACAAAAAGCUACUGUGCACAUGUUGGCAUUCAAUAUAAAAUUUAACAAGAUUAAUCAGAGUUCACAAACAUCUCUGAAAACUUAUUUUCCACCAAAAAAAAAAUAAUCAAAAUUGUCCAGUGACAAUAUGAACAUAGGACUACUGAUUCGAAAAUUCAUUACUUUAGUUAUGCAUGUUUAAAAAUAGUGAUUCAAAUUUUGAUGAUCAGAGGAGACAAUAGGGAAUCUGAAUUAAAAUUUGUAAGGCAUUUAUUCAUGAACUUAAAUAUCAACCCCUGCAAUUCUGCAAGACAAUUUCUAAGAUUGCAGCAGUCCAACUCUAUGAUCUUUUUUAUGAUUUUUAUAUAAAGCCAAAAAAUUAUGAAUUUAAAUAUGUAGAAACUAGAUAUAUGUACAUAGAAUACUAAAAAUUCUUAGAAUUUUGAGAAAUCAUUUAAAUUACGAAAUAAAUUAGAGAUAUAGGAAUUGCUGCUGAAGUCUGAAGAUCAUAAUUUUCUAGCACCAGUGUUUCAAAUUCAAAAAAUCAAAACAAUUAAUAUAGAGUUUUUGCAAUGGCCAAAAUUUCCGGGAUAUAUUCGAAAGGCAAUCAUUAAAUUCUUUUAAAAAAAAAAUUUGAGUCAUUUGCCGAUAUAAAGAUGCAUAUAUAAAUAACAAUGCUUACUUGUGGAGAGCAGCAAGCCGGACAAGCUCAAAUGAGUUGAGAGAUUGUAAAAAUUGGAUUACUUGAUUGGUUUUACAAACACUAAAAAAGAAUAUUCAAUGACUUUUAGUCAACUUUGCUUCGUCGCUAUUUGGCUAUCUGGGUAAAUUAUAAAAGAUAAAAUAAGAGACAAGAGUUAUAUAAUUGGCAGCACCGAUAUUCUCACACCAAUAAGCACUACAGUUAGCACAAAACGGUUCGUACACUCUUAAAUGACACAGCAAAUGGCAGAUGUAUGAAUAACGAAAUCAUUUCUAGAAAUGAAUACUACUGUGGCGAGAAAAUGCCUUACUUCAUCAUAAGGUCCUUGCUUUGUUGCAAACCCACAUCGAUAAACACCAUUGUUUAUCCCAUUGUAUAUCCAUUCAUUAGUCCCAUCAAUUUGAUCUCGCUGAUCAGAUGGAUGCAGAUCCAGAGAAGCAUUUUCAGCUAUAUCAUUGAAUUCCGUAUUAAACAUGCGGAUUAUCUCCGCACUCUCAUUAUUAACAAUCGUCUUCAACUUCUUAUCCCACAGUACCUAGUAUAGAACAAAACCACUCAAGUAAGUUAGCACAUGCAAACAUAGAGAGCAAUAUUCAAAUGGAGAUCACUAGUUAAGUGAACAUACAGGGACAGUGAACUUCCUUGAGUAGUUUGUACUUGCGAGCUCAUACAGGCCUCCUAUAGUUUUGGCUCCAUUCAAGGGGUCAGGCUCAGCUCCUGGUUCCUCAGUAUCCGUCGCCGGAAAAACCCAUCCCCUAUGCUCAUCGGUUUCUUUUGUUCGUUCCCAAAUUGGUUACCAUUUCUCAGAUCAAAGGCAUAAUCCCUUUAUAUUUUCCCUUAAAAUAAUUCACUGAACACUAAAGUUUGUCGUAAUAUCUUACAAUGAGUAAGUAAUAUGUAUCACAGUAUACACUAAACGAUAUAAAGUUAUAAACUAUGAUUUGUGGUGAAAUGAUCUAUUCUUAUGUACGAAUUAUACGAAACAUUUUGAUAUAAUCGUCCAAAUUAUAGUAAAAAAAGAAACGCUAGCUUUUGAGGUAACCUAAGAAGUGUCUUGCCGGUUAACUUUCACUACCUAUUUUUCACCUAAUCUUUAGCUCCCUUUUCCUCUCCGACACAUACCCUCAAAUAUAUAGGGGGGUGGGGGAACAUUUUGUUUGUUAUUUUUUAUUUAAACUGGUAGGUUUUUAACCUAAAAUGUUAUAAAUUUUUGGUUUGAGUAAUUAUUUCAUUACUAUGGUACCAAAACAUCCCUAAUAUAUGUGUGUAUAUUUGCUAAUUACUAUGAAAGCUCUAGACAUAAAAUAAAAUAUAAAAAAAGAAAAGAAAAGAAAACUUGAAAAGGCCAGAACAUACAUUAUCCAUCAUAAAUCUUGCCCAAGCCUAAUACAAACUUUGUUUUAAGAAAUCAAUUUACAUUUUAGCAUAGAAAUCAUUAAUUUACAUCUUUAAUUUCUGCUGAAAAAUCAUGAAUAUCUUUCAUUAACCUUUAUUUUCAUUUCAAAGUUUGAAAUUUUUUUUUUUUAAUAAAGGCAUUAGAUAAAAUUAUAAAUAUUUUUAAAUAAAUUCAUCGACACCUCUUUUUCUUAUCUUAAGGUGGAGCGUUAUUUAAAUCUCUCCAACAUGUAAUUGUGAAAAAUGAGCUUCUACAAUUUUAUAUAUUGCGUUUCUCUUUAUAUAUUUAUAUAUUUAUAUAUUUAUAUAUUUAUAUUUAUAUUUAUAUUUAUAUGGACUUUUGCAUUAAAUUUUAGUUGUGAUUUAUACUUACCCUCAUAGUUAUAUUGUACACAAUAUAUAAAAAGAAAAAAGGAAAUUUAAAUUUUGACAAAGUGCCAUUUUGUUAUAUAAAUUUUACUAGAUAAUAAGAGAAAGUACAUAUGCUUAAUUUUUUUUUUAAAAUUUCGGAAAUACAUAUACUUUGCAUUCGGGUUUUGUGCAAACUAUAUAUGUGAUAAAAAAAUUUGGUCAUCAACAUCAGAUAACAUUAGAACAUCACUCUUUUUUUAUUAUUAUUAUUAAAUUUUAUUAACUUUAUUAUUUUAGUUAUUAUUAAUUAUUUGUAUUAUUAUUUUUAUUAAUAUUAUCAUUAUUAUCAUUUAUUAUUAUUAAUUUUAUUUUUUUAAUUAAAAUUAUUUUUAUAAUAAUAUUUACACAUGUAUCUAGUUAAUGAAAAUUACAUUAUUUAAUACUAUGAGUAUUUUGGUAAAUUGACUCUCAUUCUCAUUCCUCAUUCCCAUUUAUUUUGCUAAGUAAACACAUUAAAGACAUUCCUGCACAUUCUCAUUCUCAUUUAUUUUUUGUAAGUAAAUAUUGGAAUCUCAUUCUUAUUCCAACUCAUUCUAUAUAGUAAACGCAUCAUAAAAAUGAAGAUUUCAUAACUAUUUUUAGGGGUGUUCACGAAUUGAAUUUUACGGAUUGGAUAUCAAUCCAUAUCGAAUCCACGAUUUUGCGGAUUAUAAAUUUUUAAUCAAAUCCAAUCCAUGGAUUAGUGAAAUUCAAUCCAAAUGUCUGUAGAUCAGAUGCAGAUUUAACCUAAUCUACCAUUUUAUAGAUUGGUUUGCAAGCUAAAACUUUUUAAUCAUAUCCUAUCCACGAACUAACUAAAUAAAAAAAUUAAUAUAAAAAUAAUUUUACUAUCAAUCAAAUUUAAAAUUAAAUAAGAUUUAAAUAAAUUAGUUGUUUAAAUAAAAUUAAAAAAUACAUUCAAAGUUUUAAAAUAUAACACACCAAAAAGAAAAAAAUUUCAAAGUUUUGUUUAGAUCAGUACAUGAAAAUUAACUGCCUGGAAGCUAUAUUUUUUAUUUAAUUAUUGUUAUUUUAUAUUAUUAUCGGAUAAGACAUAAUAUGAUGUUAAUUUAACUAUAUUUUAACUUAUUUAUUUAUUAAUAAGUAUAAUAUCAUAUUUAUAAGUUUAAUUUUUCUAUUAAAUAAAUAUUUUUUAUAUUUUUUUACUGAUUCCCAAAUUUUUACGGAUUCACAAAAGUAAAUCUAUAUUUAAUCCACCGACUGCGGAUUUUUAAAUUUUCAAUUCAAUCUAAUCCAUCAAUCCACGAAUUAAAUUUGUACAGAUCGAAUUUAUACGGAUUAGACUGAUUGAGCGGAUCCGAUUAAAUUCUAAACACUCCUGACUAUUUUAGUCAACUUUGCUUCGUCACUGUUUGGCUGUCUGGGUAACUGAUAAGGGUCCUUCUAUCUUACAUGCAUGUAAGAUAUAUUCCUCUCACAUGAAUAGUGUGUGGGUCCCACACAUAUACUAUUCAUGUGAGGGGGAUGUAUCUUACAUGCAUGUAAGAUAGGGUUUGCCAACUGAUAAUAGAUAAAAGUCAAAAUAAGAGACAAGAGUUAUAAUUGGCCAUUUCAAGCUCAAAGUGUAAACGUGCCCAGUGCCAAUUCGAAGUUUGAAAAGAAACGUGGGUUAAGUGGACUCUAUCAUCUUAGAAAAAAUGAAGAAACCAGAAAAAAUGAAGAAACCAGAAAAAACUGCUGCUGCUUCUUAUCAUCAACAUCUUUCAUUAUUACUUUUAUUUCUCUAUUGCAUUUUUGUAGCUGCAGAGAAAGAUUCAGUUGGGUAUGGCUACUCUGUUCGAUCAGUCGCUGUUGACUCCUCACUGAAGUCGUUGACUGCUGGACUUGGCCUCAUCAGGUCCUCCUCUGUUUACGGACCUGAUAUUCAGAGCCUCAAUCUUUUUGCCAGGUUUUAAAAUUUACAACUUAAUUGUUCCUUGCUUUUAUGUAUUGUUCACUGACUGUUGGACUAAGCAGUCAGCGAGAAAGACUUGUUUCAAGUUCUAAAUUCGAUAAGCUAGUGAUUUUUGAUGAUUUUUGGUUUGUGACUCUAAGAUUGAUUGAUCUGAUUAUGCUCUGUUUCCCUUCAGCUUUGAGACAAAAGACCGUUUGAGAGUUCGAAUAACAGAUUCCAAAAAACAAAGAUGGGAAAUCCCGCAGGAAAUCAUCCCCCGCCAAUCCUAUUGCACUCACUGCUGGCUGCCGGAAAACAGACUAAACUCACCGGUAAACCACCAAACAGGGCCGGGAAACCACUUCCUCUCCGACCCCACCUCAGACUUAGUCUUCACCCUCCACACCACCCCAUUUGGCUUCUCGGUCAAACGGCGAUCCUCCGGCGACAUUCUUUUCGACACAUCACCUGAAACCUCACACUCUGACACUUUCUUGGUGUUUAAGGAUCAAUACAUUCAACUCUCUUCAGCAUUACCAAUAGAAAGGUCUCAUCUGUAUGGAAUUGGAGAGCACACAAAGAAAUCAUUCAAGUUGACUCCCAAUGACACUCUAACUUUGUGGAAUGCUGACUUGGCCUCAGCAAAUGUUGAUGUUAAUCUCUAUGGCUCUCAUCCUUUUUAUAUUGAUGUGAGGUCGCCCAAUGGGACAACACAUGGUGUUCUGCUUCUUAACAGCAAUGGCAUGGAUGUCGUUUAUACUGGUGACAGGAUUAGUUACAAGGUUACUGGAGGGAUUAUUGAUUUGUAUUUUUUUGCCGGACCUUCGCCGGAUUCAGUCAUACAACAAUAUACAGAGUUAAUUGGUCGGCCUGCCCCUAUGCCAUAUUGGUCCUUUGGUAUCUUUUCUGUGAAUACCUGCUUACUUUGUUUUGAUAAGUUACGCUAAUACUUAUACACAAUUUAAUCAUUCUCUAUGUUGCAAUACGAUGGAUUGGAGUAAAUUAUUCGAAAAUUUCUUCAUUUUUGCCAUACAUUUGUUUGAGAUUAUACUAUACGGGUUGUACUUGUUGGCCACUUACCAUCAUGAGUUAUACAUUGUAGAGUAAGUUUGAGAAAAAGAAAAUAUAAAGUAUCCUUUCUUAUUUUACUUAGGCCUGUCUGUCAUUGUGGUUGGGUAACUAUAGGUUAAAAGUUACGGCACUAAAAUAUUUAGUACAUAUUAACUGUUGUGGCUUAGAAGUUAAGCUGAUUUAAUAUGCCGCUUGUAUAAUGAAAAACCUAAAAUAUCUUUAUUAUUUUUGUCAAAAUGAUUAUUUACUACGUACUAUUAAUUUUUAUUUCAUAAUCACAAUUAUUAUAACUUAAAAACUAUGGCACCUCACUACCAAACUAAGGCCUUAGUUACCUUAUUAACAAAUCAAAUAUAGAGUCACCACAAUUUGAUUUACUAGCUUUGAUAAGUUAUUCAUUCUGAAGUAUUCUUCUAUCUGCCUUGAGAUAAAUUUAUUUUCUUGGUGUAUAACUCUUCUAAGCUAGGUUUCCAGUUAACCAAAGGUGACGGCAUGACCAAUUAUUUCGUUCUUCCCAAUUUGAUUUUCACGUUGUCUUAAUGCACAGGAUUUCAUCAGUGUCGAUAUGGUUACGAAAACGUGUCCGAUCUUAAAGCUGUGGUUGCUGGCUAUGCAAAAGCUGGCAUCCCUCUUGAAGUUAUGUGGACAGAUAUUGAUUACAUGGAUGGAUAUAAGGAUUUCACUCUGGAUCCCAUCAACUUUCCAGUGAACUCAAUGCAAAAUUUUGUAAAUACACUCCAUCAAAAUGGACAGAGAUAUGUGCUCAUCUUGGAUCCUGGUAUGUAGUUAUAGAAAAUGAAUUAUCUUACUGCAGAAACAUUUUUUCAGUUUAUUUAUCGUGUCGAUCAAUAAGCCGGAUUAGAGCUCAUUUGUCACAAUAUCCUUUAUAUUUUCCCUUAAAAUAAUUCACUGAACACUAAAGUUUGUCGUAAUAUCUUACAAUGAGUAAGUAAUAUGUAUCACAGUAUACACUAAACGAUAUAAAGUUAUAAACUAUGAUUUGUGGUGAAAUGAUCUAUUCUUAUGUACGAAUUAUACGAAACAUUUUGAUAUAAUCGUCCAAAUUAUAGUAAAAAAAGAAACGCUAGCUUUUGAGGUAACCUAAGAAGUGUCUUGCCGGUUAACUUUCACUACCUAUUUUUCACCUAAUCUUUAGCUCCCUUUUCCUCUCCGACACAUACCCUCAAAUAUAUAGGGGGGUGGGGGAACAUUUUGUUUGUUAUUUUUUAUUUAAACUGGUAGGUUUUUAACCUAAAAUGUUAUAAAUUUUUGGUUUGAGUAAUUAUUUCAUUACUAUGGUACCAAAACAUCCCUAAUAUAUGUGUGUAUAUUUGCUAAUUACUAUGAAAGCUCUAGACAUAAAAUAAAAUAUAAAAAAAGAAAAGAAAAGAAAACUUGAAAAGGCCAGAACAUACAUUAUCCAUCAUAAAUCUUGCCCAAGCCUAAUACAAACUUUGUUUUAAGAAAUCAAUUUACAUUUUAGCAUAGAAAUCAUUAAUUUACAUCUUUAAUUUCUGCUGAAAAAUCAUGAAUAUCUUUCAUUAACCUUUAUUUUCAUUUCAAAGUUUGAAAUUUUUUUUUUUUAAUAAAGGCAUUAGAUAAAAUUAUAAAUAUUUUUAAAUAAAUUCAUCGACACCUCUUUUUCUUAUCUUAAGGUGGAGCGUUAUUUAAAUCUCUCCAACAUGUAAUUGUGAAAAAUGAGCUUCUACAAUUUUAUAUAUUGCGUUUCUCUUUAUAUAUUUAUAUAUUUAUAUAUUUAUAUAUUUAUAUUUAUAUUUAUAUUUAUAUGGACUUUUGCAUUAAAUUUUAGUUGUGAUUUAUACUUACCCUCAUAGUUAUAUUGUACACAAUAUAUAAAAAGAAAAAAGGAAAUUUAAAUUUUGACAAAGUGCCAUUUUGUUAUAUAAAUUUUACUAGAUAAUAAGAGAAAGUACAUAUGCUUAAUUUUUUUUUUAAAAUUUCGGAAAUACAUAUACUUUGCAUUCGGGUUUUGUGCAAACUAUAUAUGUGAUAAAAAAAUUUGGUCAUCAACAUCAGAUAACAUUAGAACAUCACUCUUUGCAGAUAAUAAUCAUAAAAUUAAUUUAUCAUUAUUAAAUUAAUAAUAAUAUUAAUUUUAUUAUUUUAGUUAUUAUUAAUUAUUUGUAUUAUUAUUUUUAUUAAUAUUAUCAUUAUUAUCAUUUAUUAUUAUUAAUUUUAUUUUUUUAAUUAAAAUUAUUUUUAUAAUAAUAUUUACACAUGUAUCUAGUUAAUGAAAAUUACAUUAUUUAAUACUAUGAGUAUUUUGGUAAAUUGACUCUCAUUCUCAUUCCUCAUUCCCAUUUAUUUUGCUAAGUAAACACAUUAAAGACAUUCCUGCACAUUCUCAUUCUCAUUUAUUUUUUGUAAGUAAAUAUUGGAAUCUCAUUCUUAUUCCAACUCAUUCUAUAUAGUAAACGCAUCAUAAAAAUGAAGAUUUCAUAACUAUUUUUAGGGGUGUUCACGAAUUGAAUUUUACGGAUUGGAUAUCAAUCCAUAUCGAAUCCACGAUUUUGCGGAUUAUAAAUUUUUAAUCAAAUCCAAUCCAUGGAUUAGUGAAAUUCAAUCCAAAUGUCUGUAGAUCAGAUGCAGAUUUAACCUAAUCUACCAUUUUAUAGAUUGGUUUGCAAGCUAAAACUUUUUAAUCAUAUCCUAUCCACGAACUAACUAAAUAAAAAAAUUAAUAUAAAAAUAAUUUUACUAUCAAUCAAAUUUAAAAUUAAAUAAGAUUUAAAUAAAUUAGUUGUUUAAAUAAAAUUAAAAAAUACAUUCAAAGUUUUAAAAUAUAACACACCAAAAAGAAAAAAAUUUCAAAGUUUUGUUUAGAUCAGUACAUGAAAAUUAACUGCCUGGAAGCUAUAUUUUUUAUUUAAUUAUUGUUAUUUUAUAUUAUUAUCGGAUAAGACAUAAUAUGAUGUUAAUUUAACUAUAUUUUAACUUAUUUAUUUAUUAAUAAGUAUAAUAUCAUAUUUAUAAGUUUAAUUUUUCUAUUAAAUAAAUAUUUUUUAUAUUUUUUUACUGAUUCCCAAAUUUUUACGGAUUCACAAAAGUAAAUCUAUAUUUAAUCCACCGACUGCGGAUUUUUAAAUUUUCAAUUCAAUCUAAUCCAUCAAUCCACGAAUUAAAUUUGUACAGAUCGAAUUUAUACGGAUUAGACUGAUUGAGCGGAUCCGAUUAAAUUCUAAACACUCCUGACUAUUUUAGUCAACUUUGCUUCGUCACUGUUUGGCUGUCUGGGUAACUGAUAAGGGUCCUUCUAUCUUACAUGCAUGUAAGAUAUAUUCCUCUCACAUGAAUAGUGUGUGGGUCCCACACAUAUACUAUUCAUGUGAGGGGGAUGUAUCUUACAUGCAUGUAAGAUAGGGUUUGCCAACUGAUAAUAGAUAAAAGUCAAAAUAAGAGACAAGAGUUAUAAUUGGCCAUUUCAAGCUCAAAGUGUAAACGUGCCCAGUGCCAAUUCGAAGUUUGAAAAGAAACGUGGGUUAAGUGGACUCUAUCAUCUUAGAAAAAAUGAAGAAACCAGAAAAAAUGAAGAAACCAGAAAAAACUGCUGCUGCUUCUUAUCAUCAACAUCUUUCAUUAUUACUUUUAUUUCUCUAUUGCAUUUUUGUAGCUGCAGAGAAAGAUUCAGUUGGGUAUGGCUACUCUGUUCGAUCAGUCGCUGUUGACUCCUCACUGAAGUCGUUGACUGCUGGACUUGGCCUCAUCAGGUCCUCCUCUGUUUACGGACCUGAUAUUCAGAGCCUCAAUCUUUUUGCCAGGUUUUAAAAUUUACAACUUAAUUGUUCCUUGCUUUUAUGUAUUGUUCACUGACUGUUGGACUAAGCAGUCAGCGAGAAAGACUUGUUUCAAGUUCUAAAUUCGAUAAGCUAGUGAUUUUUGAUGAUUUUUGGUUUGUGACUCUAAGAUUGAUUGAUCUGAUUAUGCUCUGUUUCCCUUCAGCUUUGAGACAAAAGACCGUUUGAGAGUUCGAAUAACAGAUUCCAAAAAACAAAGAUGGGAAAUCCCGCAGGAAAUCAUCCCCCGCCAAUCCUAUUGCACUCACUGCUGGCUGCCGGAAAACAGACUAAACUCACCGGUAAACCACCAAACAGGGCCGGGAAACCACUUCCUCUCCGACCCCACCUCAGACUUAGUCUUCACCCUCCACACCACCCCAUUUGGCUUCUCGGUCAAACGGCGAUCCUCCGGCGACAUUCUUUUCGACACAUCACCUGAAACCUCACACUCUGACACUUUCUUGGUGUUUAAGGAUCAAUACAUUCAACUCUCUUCAGCAUUACCAAUAGAAAGGUCUCAUCUGUAUGGAAUUGGAGAGCACACAAAGAAAUCAUUCAAGUUGACUCCCAAUGACACUCUAACUUUGU